rnacentral:lncRNA from 1 species
CGCACUUCUGUCUUUCCUUAUUACUAUAUUUCUCCUGAUCUUACAACUUCACACUUCAACUCCAUUUACAAACAUUACAAACAGACUCACACGCACGCACAGAACGUGCGCACGUACAUUAUCACAUCUGUAUAUCCCCUCUCUCUGUCUUUCUUUCUUUCUCUCUCUUUCGGUCUUUCUUUGUUUGUCUCUCUAUCCCGCUGUUUCAUUCUCUCUCUCUCAACAGUAAUUUCUCAGGCAGAUCUAACUCAGUCACUCAUGCACUCAGCAUGUUUCAACCCACCACAGUCCUACAUGUGACCCCGUCACGUUCUCUCUCUCCUCUUUGUCAUAUACAAACACACAUAUAUUCAUAUAGGUGUAUAAUUCCUCUUGUUUUUUUCAUUGUAUUCACGUUAUAUAAAUAUGUAUCUGCCUAUCUUUCUGUCUAUCUCUCCCUCACUUUCUAUUUUAUCUAUCUAUCUAUCUAUCUAUCUAUCUAUCUAUCUAUCUAUCUAUCUAUCUAUCUAUCUAUCUAUCUAUCUAUCUAUCUAUCUAUCUAUCUAUGUGUGUAUGUAUGUAUGUAUGUAGCUAUCUAUCUAUGUGUGUAUGUAUGUAUGUAUGUAGCUAUCUAUCUAUAUGUCUAUGUAUGUAAGUAUGUAUCUAUCAAUCUAUAUACAUGUGUGAGUGUGGGUGGGUGUAUAUAUAUAGGGAGAGAGGGAGAUAUGUAUUUUGUAUGUAUAAGCACACACAGACACACACGCACGCGCACACACACAUAUGCAUCAACCUAAUGGAACUGUUUUGCGGAAACCCUGUUUGCUGUGCCUUUAAUUCAAUACUCCUACAGCUCUCUCUUUGUCUUCAAACGGCCAUCUAUUUCCUCAUCUUUCCAUCAAACCCACUAUUUCUCAACCCCUGUUUGCCUAUGGAUUCCUUUCUUAUUCUACUAAACCCUCAUAGCUAAUCAAUAUUUUCAAAAAUCCUGUUAUAUAUUGUUUUUAUAAUUAAAUACUAUUAGGAAUUAUGUAAAAAGAAAUUGUGAAAACAUUUUGUGCAUUGUUGAUAUAUAGCCAAUUUUAUAUGAACCCUAGGGUGAUAUGGAUCGCGGUUGAGAACUAAUACAGUAACAAUAUAUAGUCGCCCGAAAACUUAUCUCAUUUCCUUACUACUUCAAGGGCCGAGUAGAUAAUUUACUCUUCGAUUUACUCCAAUAAUAAUAAUAAUAAUAAUAAUAAUAAUAAUGAUAAUAAUAAUCCUUUGUACUAUAGGGCACAAGGCCUGGAAUUUGGCAGGAAGGGACUAGUCGAUUACAUCGAUCCCCAGUGUUUCAUUGGUACUUAAUUUAUCGACCCCGGAACGGCGGAAUUUGAACUCAGAACGUAGCGGCAGACGAAAUACCUAUUUCUUUACUACCCCACAAGGGGCUAAACACAGAGAGGACGAACAAGGACAGACUAACGGGUUAAAUCGAUUACAUCGACCCCACUGCUUAACUGAUACUUAUUUAAUCGACCUCGAAAGGAUGAGAGGCAAAGUCGAGCUCGGCGGAAUUUGAACUCAGAGCGCAGCGGCAGACGAAAUACGGCUAAGCAUUUCGCCCGGCGUGCUAACGAUUCUGCCAAUAAUAAUAAUAAUAAUAAUAAUAAUAAUAAUGUUGAUCAGAUGGUCGUGCAUCAGUGAAUUUUCAUUAUUGGGUUUUUAAAGCAGGGACAGUAUGAGGCUUAAUCGCAUUCAACACUUAUAUUUGUUAUUGUAGCUUUUUUAGCCCCAGGAAAUCGGUAAACGAAUAGACAGGCCUUUUAUCGAAAGGCUUUUAAACCAUGACUAUCUCAUAGGGUUUGUCUUUUUAGUUUUCGCAAGGAAUCAUUCCAGGUUUACAUUGUGCAGUUUAUACCGAUCUGAUUGAGGGGAGAGUAGGUUACGAUUUCUAAUAAGUCUAACGAUCACUUUGUGUGUCUCUUUCACGUUUGCUAUGCAGUUUUCCUCGUUUCAACUAUUCCUACUGCACAUGUUCAUUCAUACAUUCGCUUAUUCGUUCGUUCGAUCUUUCCUCAAUUCGUUAGCUUAUAUGUUCCUUCCUUCCGAACAGCUCAUGUGCUGUUGAAACUAACAGUUCGAGUGCAUUGAAACACAGAACAUGCUGAGUUGCACUCUGCUGCACAUGUCUCAAAUCAACAUCCGACAUACUGCAUAUUUCAAAUUAAGUUGUUCUAAAUGCGGUAUACAUUUUAAAACACAUACACACAAACACACACACACACACACACACACACAUUUGUGUCUGUGCGUUUGUAUGAAUAUAACAUAAUACUAUAUUAUAUUAUAUUGUGUUAUAUUAUAUUAUAUAAAUUUGCGAAUGGCUGUAGAUAUAUGCAGACACACAUCGAAGUACUAUACCUGAAUGGAUAAAAUGUUCGGUUCUUAUCCACAAGGCCCCGGGUUCGAUGCGGUUGCGAAUCAUCUUCGGCAAAUUUGGUCAUCAGUAGUCUCAGAUGACCCAUACCUGGGAAGUGAAAUUAGGCCGACAGAAACUACCCAGAAGCCCAUCGUUUAUUUUAGAGAAUUCGGUUAAUGUUACACAUAUCUAUAACUGUUCAGCCACAUAAAAUCAAAUGUAGUGCACAGGCAACUCACCUGAUCGAGUAAAUCCAUUCAUAUAUAUAUAUAUGUAUAUACAUGUAUAUACAUGUAUAUAUACAGAUACAUAGGAAAUGAAAGUGUACUCACUACAUUUACUGGAGUACAGUUAUUUGUAUAUGAAGUUGAAGUACCACACCGUUGCUAAGGAAGAUUUGUCACGUGAUUCGAUCGUUCAGAGCACAACGGUUUUGUUGUCACUAGAAAGAUCGCAUCCAGCGGUGUUAACUGCGAAUAAUGAUCGAGCGAAUGACUAGCUCCACACAAACCAUGUGUGUGCGCGCGUGUAUAUGUGUAUGUAUGUAUGUAUGUAUGUAUGUGUGUGUACUCAUACACAUGCACAAGGAGAUAGAUAGAUAGAUAGAUAGAUAGAUAGAUAGAUAGAUAGAUAGAUAGAUAGAUAGAUAGAUGUGUGUGGAUAAAUUGGUGAGUAAAAAAAAACGCAAUUCAUGCAUUGAACGUUGAUGAGUUAUUUAAUUGAUAUUAAAAUAAUAUUAGUUGACGACUAAUAACAGUUUCCACUGCAAGUGAGGAAAACAGCUCCAGACAUGUGUUGUUUUAUUGGAACACUUCAACGAAGUGCAGUCACAAUAUAAUAUGCCAGAGUAAUUAGCUAUUAUCGAUUAAUUAAAUAAAUAUACGGAAAUGUGAAUUUAUUGACGUUGUGUCAGAGAGAAAAAAAAUGAAAAAAAACGGCAUUGAUAAUAAUAAUGAUUAAAAUCAGUGAUUUACGUCAAUGCAGUUGGGGAAAAUUGAAUAUAAAUAAAAGGAAAAAUCAAAAUUGAAGUUUUACAUUAAAGUAUUAUAUUAAUUUUAAUAGAUUUCGGGUAAAAGUACUCCUUAUCAAAGUAAUAAAAGACAAAAGGACUUCAGGCUUUGUUCCUGUGUCAGAUCUACAUAAGUUAAAAAAAAUUUCAAGAAAUGAUACUCUAUUUUUUACUCUUGCUGUUGUUUUCCUUUCUUUUUUUCCUGUGUGUGUGUGUGAAUGAGUGGGUGAGAGAGACCAUGCGCAGAUGUAUGAUCAAAGACAUUCAGACCGGGAUUAUCUUCCUUUCUUUAAGGCAAAGUGUAAAUCUGGAUUAGAACUGUAUUAUUCUGGAUACGCAAUGCAUACCUUAUUCUUUCCAAGUCGCUAAGUUUUAAUAUGAGGGAUAUAUGCGUGCUAUUUUCAACAGAUCGAGCGACCAAGUAGAAGUUCCUUUCUUCUAUCGUAAGCUCGACUUUUCUGCAUGAUAGUUAGUCGUUACUUGGAAAGAAUCUUGUCUAAUGUUUAUAGAACUAGGUCUGGAUUAGGAGAACCGGCUUAGAGUGGUAUAAAAAGGCCUUGCAAUGUGUUCUGUGGCUCCUUCUGAGUUCGAAUCACAUCAGAGUUUCAUUUGCUUUAAAACAUUCCAGUCAUUAACAAUGAAUAAACAAUCAGGCACAUAUAAACACAGUGUGUGUGCGUAUGUGUGUGUGUAUGUGUGUUUGUGUUUGUGUGUGUUCGUGUACGUUUUAUAUUUCAUUCGUUUUUUAAACUUUAUUUUUUGUUUGUGAACGUCGAAAUUAUACGUCCGUAAAAAAUAAUAAAAAUAUAAUCCUUGUUUCUCUUAUGAUUAACUAUUACACCAGCGAUAAAUUGAAACUGAACCCCUUUGUCAAAUACAUGAGAAACUGAAUUGUCAUAAUGUGUAUCCAUAAUAUAAUAAUAAAAGCGCUUAUGGAUUUGUAUAACAAUUUUAUCAUAUCAUAUUUGGUUACGUUCAGUUUGCCUCUCUCCACUCCUAGUUUAACUAUGUAUCGUUCCAGUUUGCAAAUCCAGAGUUGAAUACCAUGCACAAAUUUUGUCAAGAAAAAUCUCUACGUAGUGAUACAGCAAGGUCGUAAAUUCUCCGACUGAAAUGAGUCAAAGAGUAAAAUAUAUAUCUAUAUUUAUCAUUGACUGCACGCGUUUGCAUUACUUAAUAUGUCAUGCUAAUGAGAUCAUUUAUCUUGUGUGUAACAAUCGAUGACCAGAAUCAUUAGUGGCGCUUUACUCAUCUGAUCACUCUCCAAAAUACAUAUUGUUUCUAUGUCAGUUAUAAACCUAAUCAUUUCAUUGAAUGCUCUGAUAGCAUAAAGGUCUAAGUCAUAAAGAUAAUCGUCAAAUAUAACUAUUUACAAUAUAACUACUUACGUAUUAGGAGGAAAAAAAUACACUGUAUACAACGAAUUUUGUGAGUACACUUGCUUUUCUUUGUGAAACCACUUUCAAAUUAUACAGUCAUAUACGUGUGCGUGCGCGCGCGCGCGCGUGUGUGUGUGUGUGUGUAAAAGCAAGAAUACACGCAUUUAUGUAUGUAUGUGUGUGUGGUGCAUAUGUAUAUAUAUUUAUUAACACAAACAUAUACACAAGGUAUAACGUAUGUACGUGUAUGUAAAAAUAGAAUGCACAAACAUACAGUCGUGUUGGUGUGCGUUUCAUAUACAUACAUAUAUGUGUAAUCUAUUCAAUUGUACACAAGCUUAUAUAUAUAUAUAUAUAUAUAUAUAUAUAUAUAUAUAUAUAUAUAUAUAUAAGAUAUAUAGAGAGAGAGAGAGAGAGGAAGAGAGAGAAUAAUGAGACAGAGAGUGAGAGAGAAAAAUAGAAGAAUGAGCUAUAUACACCUACACAUUACACACAUGCACAUAUCAAAUGUUAUUAGAUAUUGUUGGAAAACGUCUGGUUGCACGUGUCUCUUGCUCCAUUUCGCUUUAGCUCAAUUGCAAAGAGCUAAGUCUAUGACAAAAUUCCUAUGAAAUAGCCAUGAACUUCUUGGAAGCAAAUAUUUAGAACAAGCACACUGUUAUUUAUAGGUAAUUUUAGAGAGAUUAUAUUACAAAACUCAGUAUGAUGUAAUUAAUUGCUAAUACAUCUGCUGGGUAAGUGAAACAUAGUUAGUUCGAUCCGAGAAGUAUUAGUAUUAGCUUUUGUUUUUCGUUUUUGUACUUUUGGGAUUCCUAACAGACUGUAAAUGUUUAACGUUAUAAUUGUUUCGUUAUAUACAGAACACAAUCUAAUGUCUAUUAAUGCAUAUAUAUAUAUAUAUAUAUAUAUAUAUAUAUAUAACGUAUGUGCGUACAUGCAUGUAUAUAAAGUGUGUGUAUAUAUGUCUGUAUUUAUAUGUAUAUAUAUGUUUGCGCGCAUCAAACGUGAUACGCAUGUGUGUAUGCAUAUAUAUAUAUAUACAUACUUAUACGUAUUUUUAUAAUUUAUCUUUGUCUGUUUGUCUCUCUCUCCCUCCUCUCUCUCUAUAUAUGUAUAUAUAUGUACAUACAAGUAUAUAUAUAUAUAUAUACGUAUAUAUAUGUGUAUAUAUUCGUAUAUAUAUGUGUAUAUAUACAUUUGUAUAUAUGUAUAUAUAUUAUAUACACACAUACACACACACACAUAUAUGCUCACACACACGCACACAUCCAUGUAUACAUAAUGCAUAUAUGUCUAUAUUGUUAUAUAUGUAUUUACAUAUGCAUAAGUAUGUGCACAUGUGUGUGAGUAUAUGCAAGAGAGAUGCAGAGACAGAGUUAGAAUGACAGAAAGCGAGAUUAGACGAGGGAAUACAACACAGACAUACUCUAAGAACAAUGCAGCAAAAUGUGAGAAAGAAGACCCACAUAUAUGAGUAUGAAUGUGUAUAUACAUACACGAGCUCUUGUGACACAAAACCACAAUCACAUACACAUUGUGUAUUGCGUGUGUGUGUGUGUGUGUGUGUGUGUGUGUGUGUGUGUGUUGCUUCGUUAUAGACAAGUUCAACCAUGUUCAUACACGCAUUACAUACGUAGCUGUUACAUUCACAUUCGUACACAUCAUCACUCGUUCUCACACAUUAACAUACUUGCAUAUACCAGCUCUCUCUCUCUCCUUCUCUCUUUCUCUCUUCCUCUUGUUUACAUAAUCUGCAGACACACACGUAUUGUACAAAUUCCAUACUUAUUUACAAACACACACACACACACACACACACUUGUGCAUAUUUUGUCUCUUUAGCGCACACACAAUCUUAUCAUUCUCCCAUACAUUCAUAAACACAUAAAUUUCUACCUACAUAUAUACAUGUUUCGUGUACACUCAUACACAAAUCACAGAUUAUCAUUCAUAUACAACUCUGUAAAGUUAUAAAAUUCACACAAACCCACGUAUAUACAUACAUACAUACAUACAUACAUACAUACACACCGAAAAAUAAAUUUACAUGAAUAAAUAGACGAGCGUUUCAACAACUCACUAAUACAUAGAACAGAGCAUUCAAGCAUGCACGCAUUCAAAAAUCUAUGUAUAUAUUUCGUUUGUUUGUUUUUAGCAUGCAGAUAAAUGUAUAAUUGUGCAAGCAAGCAUGCUAUUAAGUGUUAUUAGCAAGGACGAUAUUAUUUUAGCAGAAAAAUAUAAAAUUACGCAAGCAUAUGAGAAAAAUACAAGAACACACAGUGUUAAAAAUUCUGAUGAUAAGGUGGGGUGGGGUGAAUAGCAAUAGAGAUUUUCUUUACUUUAAUUAUUUAUUACAGCUUUCUCCGUUUAUUAUUAUUAUUAUUAUUAUUAUUAUUAUUAUUAUUAUUAUUAUUAUUGCUUUUAUUACUAUUGUAGUUGUUUUUUUGUUAUGUUGUUCUUGUUCUUAUUGAUGCCAUUGUUAUCGCUGUUACCGCCGUUGUUGUUGCUCCUUUUGUUUUUGUUGAGAUUAUUAUUAUUAUUAUUAUUAUUAUUAUUAUUAUUAUUAUUAUCGUUAUUAUUAUUAUUAUUAUCGUUAUUAUUAUUAUUAUCGUUAUUAUUAUUAUAGCGUCGAAAUGGCGGAAUCGUUACCGGAGAAAAUGCUUAGCCCCAUUUCUCACGGCUCUUUUACGUUCUUGUGUUCAAAUAUUGCCAAGAUCGAUUUUUGCUUUUUUUCAAUUCCGGAUCGAGGAAAUAAGUAAACGUUGAGGACAGGGUAGCAGCUUCCCAGAAAUUUCAAGCCCUGUGCCUUUAAAAAAGAUAAUAAUAAUAAUAAUAAUAAUAAUAAUAAUAAUAAUAAUAAUUAUUAUUAUUAUUAUCAUUAUUAUUAUUAUUAUCAUUAUUAUUAUUAUUAUUAUUAUUAUUAUUAUUAUUAUUGUUCUUGUUGUUGUUUUGUCAUUGUUGUUGUUAUUGUUUGGUGAUUGAGAGUUGGACACAAUACCUUGCGUUGUUUAGUUAUAUGCCUUUACUAUCCGAUUUCAAAUCCCGCCACUAUCAGUUUUGGCUUUCAUUCCUCUAGAAUCUGAAGUCGAUACCAUUCUUUUCGCCCAAAAUCUCUUUGACAAUGUACCUAUGCAAGAAUAGGGGCGAACCCAAAGGAGUGGGCUGAAGGGCACGUGCCCACUCCCUCAAGACAAGAAGUGCACCUUUCUAAAUAAUGUUAUUUCGCUCUUUUCUCCUGGAAUUGUAUUCCCUUCUGAACUUGAGCCCUCCCUUCGAAACAUUCCUGAGACAAAGUCAGCAGUUUUGGAGGAGAAACUAAGUCAAUGAAAUCUACCCUUUCAGUGUUCAACUGGUACUUAUUUUAUCGACCACGAAAGAAUGAAAAGCAGAGUCGACCUUCGCGGAAUUUGAACUCUAAGCAUAAAAACAGAUGGAAUAUCGCUAAUCAUUUCGUCUAGCGCUCUAACGAUUUUGCUUGCUCUCCGAUUUAUAUACUUUUACUCUUUUACUUGUUUCAGUCAUUUAACUGCGGCCAUGCUGGAGCACCGCCUUUAGUCGAGCAAAUCGACCUCAGGACUUAUUCUUUGUAAGCCUAGUACUUAUUCUAUCGGUCACUUUUACCGAACCGCUAAGUUACGGAGACGUAAAUACACAAGCAUCGGUUGUCAAGCGAUGUUGGGAGAACAAACAUAGACACAAACAUACACGUACACGUUCACACAUAUAUACAUAUAUACGACGGGCUUCUUUCAGUUUCCGUCUACCAAAUCCACUCACAAAGCUUUGGUCGGCCCAAGGCUAUAGUAGAAGACACUUGCCCAAAGUGCCACGCAGUGGGACUGAACCCGGAACCAUGUGGUUGGUAAGCAAGCUACUUACCACACAGCCACUCCUACGCCUAUAUGUCAGUAUAAUUAUUUUUAUCAUAAUUCAGCGCGUCGGACUAAAUUACAUGUAUCCUUACUUUCAUCUUUGUACGCUCAGAGCUCAAAUAUCGACAAAGUCGACUUCGCUUUCAUGUAUCAGGCUCUAUAUGUCCAGAGUUAAAAUCCCCCUGAAGCCAACUUUAAUUUUCAACCUUUCGCAGUCUAUGAAAUAAGGUACCAGUCAGAUAGUGGGGUCAGUGUAGCCGACGUGUCUCCUCUCCUCACAAUUGCUGGCCUUGUGCCAACAUUAGAAAGAAAGAAAAAUAUUUUCAUUGCAAGUAUUCGAAGCAGUUGUGAUGGUGGUGGUGGUGGUAGUAGUAGUAGCGGUAGUAGUAGUAGUAGUAGUAGUAGUAGUAGUAGUAGUAGUAGUAGUAGUAGUAGUAGUAGUUGCAGUAGUAGUAGUAGUAGUAGUAGUAGUAGUAGUAGUAGUAGUAGUAGUAGCUGUUGUUGCUGUUGUUGUUGUCAAUCAUUGCUGUUAUAAAAUCAACACGACAUAUGCUGCCGAACAUGAAAAUGUUGACAUAGCCACUAGAACAUGAAAUCAAAACACAAUGAUUGCGCACGCGUGCGCUAUCUUGCGCGUGCGAAAGAGAGAGAGAGAGAGAGAGAGAGAGAGGGUGUGUGAGAGAGAGUACAUAUGCAUUAGCUUUUGUGAGGUAUGUAUUUAGCCACGUGUGUAUUAUUACACACAUUUCCAUCUAUGCGCAGUCAUACACACACACACGUGUACAUGCACAUCACAUCACAAAGCCAUACAUCUCCUGAACUACAGAGAUAUAUAAUCAAGAAGAUAAAAUAUGCACCUUUGUGAAUAUACACACAUAUGAAAAGCAUAUAAGGACAGAUCUAGUAGAAAGCCUAUUUAGAUUCUAGUGUGUCAAAAGAUAGCGACAUUUCUAUUAAGUAUAUAUAUAUAUAUAUAUGAGGGAGAGAGAGAGAGAUUGUAACUUGAAGUAAAAUAAUUAGUAUAGAUCAGGUUUCGUUAAGAAUACAUCCUCAAACAUACCCCACAAAGAAAAGGCAUGUUAGGGUAUGACCUUUAAAAUAUAUAUUUCAUAGAAUACUGUAUGAGAAAUAUUUUUGAUGUGCAUCGUAGGAUUAAUUUAUGCUAUGAUUGCUCUAUGUCAGUUUACGUUAAAAUAAGAUUGGCGAAGUGUGUGUAGUUUGCUUUUAAUGCGUCAAAGUUUGUUUUGUGACUUCGAAGUUACGCCUUUGUCAGACUGACGAUGGUGAAGAAGCCGAAACAUUGUAGCAACUGUCAGCUCUUUCUGUGUAAAAUUCAAUAAACUUGUAACCUACUAAAAGCACUGAGUAAUCCUUCAGUUUAAUUUUCUAUUGUUUUUAUAUAUAACUUGACAUAAACACAAACACAUAUGUGCGUGUUUCUAUGGUUGUGAGUGUAUGUAGGCUCCCAUGUUUAAUUACGAGUACAUACAUGCAUGCAUACUUAAACACGUACAUACAUACAUACAGACUUAGCCUGAGAGAUUGUAUCAGGUCUUGGAUCUGACAUCAAAUUUAUUUCCAAAUCUAAUAAUGCACCUUCAGAGACAAAUUACGAACAGAAUUUUACCAUGAAACUCUAAGGAGAGAAUUAUUACAAGAGAAAGCAGUUUCAGUACAAGAAUUUUUUGUGCAUACCUUUGUGAUUAAGAAUUUUGCAACCAUGUGGAUUCAGUUUCAGUGCCAUUGUGCUGCGACUUGACCAUGUACCCUCUAUAAUAGUCCCGUUCUGUUUUUUAUUUCUAAUUUUUGCAAUGUUGAAUGUAGAGUGGAGUAGGUAUUAUUACUUAUCAUAUAUUGCAUUUCAUUUGGAGAAUUACACACUUUUUUCUGCCGCUGGAAUGUCGAGGUGAUCUAGCUCUCUCUACUAUCUCUACCAGCAUUACCGAUCGCACUAUCCAAUUAUUUACAGCCUAUUAGUUCUUACGGUUUGAUAAUGAUGGGUUCAGUUCGUGACACUUGUUUUGAAUGGGUUUCAGGUGACUAGAAACUUCAAAUUUUCGGUUGUAUACUUUACAGCCAUGCUUUGUAGCUCUACUGUAAUUGGAAUCCAUCAAAUUCUGUAUAUCCCUACUUUACUGUGGUGUGCAAGGUAACAAUCAUUAUUGAAUGACAUUUCCGUCAGUAUCAUACUAUGGUGUAGGUUUUAGCUUUCAGAUGCUUUUAAACAUGUCUGUAUGCAUGCAUCAUCAAUUUAAUGGAAAGCUCCUGACAUCAUUGCUAUUAAAGCGAGAAUAACGUUCAUGCAAGCCUAAAAACUUGCUUGAAACCACUGUAGCAUCAAACUGUGCAGAGCUAGAGUUCACGUAUGUAAACUGAACCUUCAUGCCUUCAUAUGAUCAAACUUCACUGAUGAGUCAAAUUUAUGCAUCUAUCAUUGGCCUAACCAGUUUAUUCUAAUGAUUGUAUUCAAUACGUUCACCAAGAGCUCAUACGGUCUCACGUUCUCUUCUACAUGUUUCCUGGAUCUUUCGAAACGAAGACAGCAUCAUAUACAUGGUGUUUCUUCUCCUCUUGUAGCACACUGAAUAUCCUGAAGAAUUACUGUGGUUUUCUUAUACAGCCUCUCGAGCGCCUUCCCGCUUAAACUAUUCCGAUUCUUUCUGCACUUAAUGUUAGCACUUUUCUAAUUUAUAUAGUUCUAUGAGAGUUCAUUACACUCUUGUCAUUUCAGUAUCAACCACUGGAUACGUAUAAUGAGUUUGUACCUCACAUUCUUCCAUACUUCUGCUGGUACCUACUAUUGAUGACUUUCUACAUUGCAAUUAACUGGUUGCCUUCAACAUGUCUGCUAUUGAUGUUAAUCAGCAGGUCUCAAUGUCUGGCCCUCUUACAUACAUAUAGGCGCAGGAGUGGGUGUGUGGUUAGUGGGUUGCUUACCAGCCACAUGGUUCCGGGUUCAAUCCCACUACGUGGCAUCUUGGGCAAGUGUCUUCUACUAUAGCCUCGGGCCGACCAAAGCUUUGUGAGUGGAUUUGGUAGACGGAAACUGAAAGAAGCCCGUCAUGUAUAUGUGUAUAUAUAUAUAUAUAUGUGUGUGUGUGUUUGUCCCCCCAACAUCGCUUGACAACCGAUGGUAGUAUGUUUACGUCUCCGUAACUUAGCGGUUCGGCAAAAGAUACCGAUAGAAUAAGUACUAGGCUUAUAAAGGAUAAGUCCUGGGGUCGAUUUGCUCGACUAAAGGCGGUGCUCCAGCAUGGCCGCAGUCAAAUGACUUAAACAAGUAAAAGAGUAAAGAGUUUACAUGCAAACAAAUGAAAUCAAUAUUAGAAGAUUAGCAGUAUUGGUUGUAAAUAAAUGGCAGUAAAUGGAUCGAGAGGUUUACAUUACUGCUGUUUACGUGCUGGUUCAAAUCCCAUCGUGGUCAACGUUCACAUUUUUCUGCUGAGGGUUCAUAUAAUACAAAACUAGUAAAGUUCUAGAGUUUAAUAAAAUUUACGAUGCUCACUCCUAGCUUUGAGAUCGUCUGACUAUGUAAAAAUCAAUAUUCCCCGAGAGAUGGCAGGAGUGGCAGAACACAUGAAAUGUUUAGUGGUAUUUUAGCGUGUACUGAAUUCUAACUGGGACAAUUUAGUACUUCAUUCUUCCGUAAGUACGAGUCAUAGACUGUGAAUAAUUCAAGGAAAGAAGCUAGAAAACCCGUGUCAAUGAGGACUGCUAUCCGUUCACUCGAACAUUUAAAAAUAGCAGUAAGAUAUAUCUCACUUGAACUCUUCAUUCAGGUACUAAAAUGGACAAGAUGGAUGGCGUAGCAGACAGAUACGUUCAUUAACAAAGGCAAUAUAAAGAGACUGCGAUAGCUUGAAUGUUUUUGAUCUUAGGUCUGCUCUAGCGAAGAUGACUUUGGGCUAAACAACAAAAUAUCAAAAUUAUAAUCAAUAUAAACUAUGACACUGCAAGUGCAGCCUUUGACAUUUGCAGCAACACAGCGCAUAGCAUACUAAUUGAAAUAGCGUUGGGUCAUAGACACACAUACACCCACACCCAUUUAUGUACAGACAUAUACGUGUGUGUCUAUAUAUAUAUAUAUAUAUAUAUAUAUAUAUAUAUAUAUGUAUGUAUGUAUAUACGCGUGUACAGAGAGAGAGAGAGAGAGAGAGAGAGAGAUGUAUACAUAGAAAUAUGGGUAAUCUUCGUCGGUUGUGACCAGAUUAGUCAGAUGUUCGAUUAACUGGUCUUGCAACUCAUUGAACGAACAUGAAAGUAGCCGAGUAUUCCACAUACGCGUAUAGCCUUAAUGAUACAACAUAUAGUGCCUUAGUUAUAAUCUACGUAGUGAAUUUCGUCAGUUUCCAUCUAUCUAAUUUCUCUAGAAGAUUUUAGUUGAUCUGAGGCUACGAAAAACACUCUUGCGUAACAUGCGAAGCAGAGGCAUCGAACUCGAGACAUUUGUAAUCGUGAAUUGAACUUCUUAACCAUUCGGCCAUGCUGUGCUUAUGUGUAUACACACACACGCACGCCUUACACACACACCCACACACACACACACACAAGCCUUCAAAAACGUUGUCAAAACAUUCAAGACGUUUAGCGUUUAAUAAGAUCCACAUACGGAAUGGUACCCAUGCCUACACAUGUGUAUUCGUGUGCAAAUACAUAUAUAGCUACCUUGUUGAUGUCCUUCAGCCUAAUAGUAGGGCUUUGUUUCUAGGUUAGGAUCAGCAAUGGGUAGUUCGAAAAAUACAACUAAGAAAACACUACACACACACACACACACACACACACACACACACACACACACACACUACACUCGCACACACACAUUCGUACACACACAUACACACACUCGCACACGUGCUCCAAGGGAAAAGUACGCCAUACUAUUAUCACAGAGACGGUGAAGACUCUGGCCCUCUCACAUGCAAAUAGUACAUGCAUCAAUUAUUAAAAACGCCCCAGAAGAAAUUAGUUGAAAACAGUUGCUCCGCGUAUCAUUGUGUAUACAACAACCCACGAGACGUUCUCUGUAGAGGUCCCAUUUUAAUAGAAGAAACAUCCAGAUGUAAUCUGAUUUCUUUAUUUUGUCACCAGGGCGACAAUGAGCGAACAUAACAAGGACAAUUUACAAAAACGGUGGGUGUUUUUUCUAAUAAUAAUUGCUUUAUACUAAAAGAAUAAUGCGCAUCUCGAAAAUAUAAUCUCUGAGAUAGAUAUUGUGUGACAUUGUGAGGUGCGUGUUUGAGUGCGCGUGUGUUUGAGUGCGUAUGUAUACGUGUGUGUCCAUGUGUGACAUAAGGAGAGAAGGAAGAGAAAGAGAAAGAGAACUGGAAGAAGGGGAGAGGAUAUGUAAGAACAGGGAGUUAUUACUUCUGUCCUUUACUGCUUUUGACGUGGUUUUUGUUUCUACUUGUGUUGUUGUUGUUGUUGUUCUCAGCUUGGGGAACAGACCGGGCAUAUGUGUGUCAGCAGUUAAUAAAACAAGAGAUAAUGGUGAGGGGAGGGUGGAGGGUCGGAAACUACAUCGCCCUCCCUAACAUACUUCCCAACUCCUGCUGGCCAAAGCUAGGGUUCGUGUGUGUGUGUAUAUUAUGGGAUCAUAAAGGAAGGAAGGGUGAUGGCUGCUCUCAACUGGAGUUUUCUCGACAACGCCCCCUCCGUCCGUCCAAAUUAUCUGAACAGCUUACUUCAAGUGGUUUAGUAGUAGUAGUAGUAGUAGUAGUAGUAGUAGUAGUAGUGUUGGUGGUGGUGGUAAUAAUAUAAUAGCAAAUCCUGCUUGUGGUUGAUGUUGUUCUCAUCGGAGGUGGAGGUGAUUUUAGUAACACGAUCGUUAAUGUAUUAUAACCCCAGGUCAAGAUCAAUGGCGAAAAUCCACGACAACCGAGAACAUUUUGUUUUACCGAUAUGCUGAGGUGAUCAGAGCCACAUUGUCCAACGUAUUAUUUUACAAAAAUGUUUGGGUGCAAUCUGAUGGCAACUAGUUGCCAUUUUUAGCAUGUCAAACCACCUAAAUAAGAAACCUCGUUCUUGACUCGUGGUGGCUGUUGUUGCCAGAGUCAAUGUUGUUACAUCGAGCAAACCAAUUAUUAAAGUUUUUUAACAUUCAUGACCUUCACGACUUUUUAGGACAUAUGUAGGAAUAGAUUGCUUUUAUAAACGGAAUAGAUUUACUUUUAUAAACGGCAAGUUUAGAUUUGAGAGAUUUUUGGUUGCCAUAUCUAGCAGAUAUGAGAUCAUGUAGAGAUCAGUUUGGUCUUAGGCGUGGUAAUUAAUAGGAGACUUGUAUUGUUUACACCUGGGUCAUAGCUGAUUGAACAAAUCGAUAGACAAAGACCUUUCCUCCAUGAGUAAUAUUUUUUAUUUAUUUGUGCACCGUUUUCAAGCCUAGCCAGGCUCAUGGGCCCGGGUUCCCGGUUUCUAUGGCGUAUGUGUUCCCACAGCUGGAUGGGACGCCAGUCCGUCGCAGCGUUACUCAAGAAACAGGAAGAAAAAGUGAGAGAAAGUUGGGGUGAAAGAGUACAACAGGGGUCGCCACCACUCCCUAUCGGAGCCUCGUGGAGCUUUGGGUGUUUUCGCUCAAUAAACACACACAACGCCCGGUCUGGGAAUCGAAAUCGCGAUCCUCCGACCGCGAGUCCGCUGCCCUAACCACUGGGCCAUUGCGCCUCCCUCAUGAGUAAUAUUAUUGAGUAUUAAUGGUAUGUUUUAAGUAGUAGUUUUGUUGUGGUUCGUGUCAGUAGUGUUAGUACUGAUGAUUGUUGGGUGGUUGUGGUGGAUGUAGUGGUUUAGGUGCUGUUUGUGCUUGUAGCAAUAUUCGUCAGUGCCAAUAGAAAAGAUAGUGUUAAUAUAAUGAUAAGGUUAAAGUAACAAUGACAGUUGAAGUCUAUUAGUAGCAGCGGUGGUAAGCAUAUGGCAAUAGUAGCAGCAAUGCAAGGAGAUCAAAUGACAGUGAUGGUUUUAGUGAUUUUUUUUUAUGAGUGAUGAUUGAGUGGGGAUUAAACUGCCGGUUGCUCUCGAAGUGAUUGUAAUGUAGUGAUGGGGAUGGUAUUAAUGGUGCUGAUGAUAAAGGUAUUAAAUGGUCGUAGCGUCAUUACGGAGAGUAAGUGACAGACAAACUAAGUUAACCAUUCAGAUGCGUGUUUACAUGUGUACACACAUAAAGUGGCGAGCAGGCAGAAACGUUAGCACGCCUGGCGAAAUGCUUAGCGAUAUUUCGCCGAUCUCGACUUUGCUUUUCAUCCUUUCGGGGUCGAUAAAUUAAGUACCAGUCGCGUACUGGAGUCGAUCUAAUCGACUGGCCCCUCACCAACAAUUUCAGACCUUGUGCCUAGAGUAGAAAAGUAUACGUGUACACACGCAAGCACACGUACACGUACACCUAUAUUUGGUGCCGAUAUUAUUUUGACCUAUGAAAGUGGCGAACUGGCAGAAUCGUCAGAACGUCGGGUGAAAUGCUUAGCGGUAUUUCGCCUCACGCUACGUUCUGAGUUCAAAUUUCACCUUUCGGGGUCGAUAAAUUAAGUACCAGUGAAACACUGGAGUCUAUAUCUAAUCGACUAGUCCCCUCCCCCAAAACUUCAGGCCUUUUGUCUAUGAUAGAAAGGAUUAUGACCUAUGAUACUGAGCGUGUUCUCAGGCCGGAGAAUUGGCUGAUAUAUUUGCAACAGAGUGGCUGCCAUAAAGCACACACACACGCACACACACGCACGCACGCACGCACGCACACACAAAAAGCCCAAGCUGACAACUUAAUUUGAUAUAUCAUAACAAGAACAUUGUAUACGGAGUGUGGAUGAUUUGGCGUGACUUCUACACAUUUUGCCUUGCUUUGUUCAAACGAGGCUACGGAAGAAAGUAAUAGAUUUGAAGUUCCAGGUAGUGGUUAUCGAACUAGAAGUAUAUAGUUGCAAGAGACCCACAGGCAUUGAAAUUAUCUUCUAUUACUCCUGUUUUCUUCCGCUUUUUCUCUAAUUUUAUCCUAGCCUUCAGAAGAAGAGCUUAUGCUCAAAAUCAUAAUCUCUGAUGGUUUCUUUCAGUUCUUCGAGCGACAAAUUAAUAAUUACACCUUAUCACCUUUUCAUCGGCGCUAUUAAUUUCAUCGUUAUUCUUACUUUUAACACACACACACACACACACACACACACACACAACAUGCACCCACACGUAAACUAGUCGUAUGUUCCAGAACAAUAAACCUGUUUCAUGACUGAUCUUGGCUGAUGAAGGUGUGUCAUAUCAAAUAUUUUUAUGUUGCCGUUGCCGCCGUAGCCAUCGUCAAAACCACCACCACCACCGCCACCUACUACUACUACUACUACUACUACUACUACUUUACCAACCAUGUAACCAACCAACCAACCUUAUGUGCAAACGCACAUAUACAUAUAUGCAGUCACCGAUCUAUUAAUAGGUGGCAUACAUACUAUUAUCUGUGCAUCUAUGUUAGUAUACACAUUAGGUGUUUAUUCCGUGUGAACCAAAAAUCCUUAAAUAAGAAACAUAAAUACGUAAACAAAUGCAUAAAUAAAUAAAGUAAUUUUCUUCCUUCGACUCGACUCCACCAGAAAUGGAGAAGAUAGCGAUAAGAGUGAAAAUUAAUUGUUUAUCAACAGUUUCGAUGUAUAAACAAGUCAUGUGUAUCCGAAUGUGGUCGAGUACGAGGUGAGUAUACUCCAGAUUGUCCAUUAUCAACUUUUACUUGCUAAUGGAUGCAGUCAAUCAACGUUGUUCACCAUCUGCUCCUCUUCCUUUUACUCAAUCUGUAGUUUCAAACAAAGCUUUUAGUUCGUUGUAGAAGACCUACGAAUAAGCAUAACCACUACUAUCAACACUACCACCACAACUACCACCACCACCACCAGCACCAAUAGCAAAAACAACAACAACAACAAAAGCAACAGCGUUUUGUUGUUGUAGUAGAUGUGGAUUUUUUCAUUGCUUGUUUUUGUUUUUUUUUUAUUUUCUUUAUUUUUUACUCUUUUGUGUUGAUGUUCUCCAUUAAAUCUCUCUCGCUGCUGCUUGUGUGCGUGUGCGUAUCUAUAUAUAUGUGCGUGUAUAGGUAUACAUACACACAUGUAUGUAUAUCUGAGUGUGUAUGUAUGCGGUUAUAAUUUGUAUAUAUUUGUAUAUGCGUCUGUGUACAUACGUGUGUGUGUGUGUGCACGCGUGUGUAUACACAUAUAUGUAAUAGUAUGUAUAGAGAUAUGUAUGUAUAUGAGUAUAUAUGUAUACAUUUGUGUAUAUAUGUACGUAUAUGUAUGUAUAUAUGUAUGCAUAUGUGUGUAUAUAUGUAUGUAUAUGUAUUUAUGUAUAUGUAUAUAUGUGUGCAUAUGUAUUUAUGUAUAUGUAUGCAUAUAUAUGCAUGCAUAUGUACAUAUAUGUAUGCAUAUGUAUAUAUGAAUAUGCAUAUAUAUGUAUGUAUAUAUAUAUAUAUAUAUAUAUAUAUAUAUAUAUGAAUAUGUAUGUGUAUAUGUAUGUAUAUAUAUAUAUAUAUAUAUAUAUAUAUAUAUGAAUAUGUAUAUAUGUAUAUAUAUAUGAAUAUGUAUGUAUAUAUGUAUAUAUAUAUAUAUAUGAAUAUGUAUGUAUAUAUCUAUAUAUAUAUAUAUAUAUGAAUAUGUAUGUACACAUAUAUAUAUAUGAAUAUAUCUGUGUAUGUGUAUACGAAUAUGUAUGUAUAUAUAUAUAUGAAUAUAUCUGUGUAUGUGUAUACGAAUAUGUAUGUAUAUAUAUAUAUAUAUAUAUAUAUGAAUAUAUCUGUGUAUGUGUAUAUGAAUAUGAAUAUGUAUGUAUAUAUGUAUAUGAAUAUGUAUGUAUAUAUGAAUAUAUCUCUAUAUGAAUAUGUAUGUAUAUAUAUAUAUAUAUAUGAAUAUGUAUGUAUAUAUGUAUAUGAAUAUUAUAUGUAUAUAUAUAUAUAUAUAUAUAUAUAUAUAUAUGAAUAUAUAUGUGUAUGUGUAUAUGAAUAUGUAUGUGUGUAUAUAUAUAUAUAUAUAUAUAUAUUCACACACAAAUACAUAAUCACACAUACGCGCAUGUGUUGCAUAUAUGCGUGAGAAUGUGUAUGUGUCGGAGUUCAUUUUAAAAUUUCUCUAUGAUUGUGAAAGUGGUGGCUUGACGGCAGAAUCGUUGGAGAUAAAGGCAAAAACACUUUGUAGCAUUUGUUCAAGGUCUUUACCUUCUGUGUUCAGCCUCGCCUUUCAUCCUUGCGCAAUCGAUAAAAUAAUAUACCAGUGAAGUACUGUGGUCGAUGUAAUCGAUAUAACCGCUCCCUUCACUGCAAGUGGCUUGUUCCUGAAUAAGAAACCUACUUUUCUUUUAUUGUGUAUUAUUUUCUUGUUUUCUGCGUAUAUUUCUCUGCGCGUUUAAGUGUUUGUGUGCAUGCAUUGUACAUGCGUCUUAGACUUCUGAUCAUUAUACACCCAUUCAUGUGUCUGAAUUCACACAUACACACCUUUAUACAAGUAACUAUACGUCCACAUGCAUAAAUAUAUAUCUGUUUAUCGAUAUGUCCAUUUCAGACGUGGUUUCAUUUGUCUUUGGUGUCGUUAUUAUUUUUUGGUACAUUUCUUUGCGCUUUUAUAUAUAUAUAUAUAUAUAUAUAUACACACACACAUUAUUAUUAUUAUUAUUAUUAUUAUUAUUACGCUAUGCAAGUCUAAGUGUAUCUGUCUUGUUAACUAUGAGCACUUCAAAGAAUAACAUACCGUCCUACAGUCUAUUCAGAUCUACUGUGCAUAAUGAUGGGAGUAUGUUUAGGUUACCAAUGUCACACGUAUGCGCCUACACUGGCGCACGCGUAUAUUUUUGUAUUUUAUAUUGGUGUUUCAUGUGCUGCAAGGAGGACUAUAUAUAUAUAUAUAAUAUAUACGUGCCUGAUUAUGUGUACGUAUGUGCCCGUAUGCAUCUGUAGUGUAUAAAAAUUAUUAUAUAUGUUCCUCUGGAGCGAUUACGUGCAUCAUAUGUUUAGAUAAGUAACCCUUGUUUGUGAAUAUCUGUGUGUUUAUGUUUGUAUAACCAUAAAAGUGCGUACUUGUUUAUGUGUGCGUUCCUCUGCGUCUGUUUACAGUCACCAAAGAAUUGAUAUUAUUCUAGUCAUGUCUGGCUUCACCGACCUUACGUUUCUGACAGAAUAGAGAAUUAGAUAGACAUUUUUGUUCAUACAUAAUUUGUUUUGAUAGUUGCAGUCCAGAAAUGCACCGAAUCAUACACACAUGUGCAGCAUAUGCAUACGCACAAUCACUUUCCGCCAAACACACACACACACACACACACAUGUACACAAACAUAGACAUACACACACUGAACACAAACUAAUACUUAAAAUGGCUAACAAAUACCACAUAUAUGUUUGUGUAUUUUUUGUAGGUGUAUGUUUGUGUGCCAUGUAAUCAUAAGAUAAUGUAAUUUGAGGCAUACACAUAGUUUAUACCUUUACGAAUGAGUGUGACUACACACACACACACAUAAUACACUUUAUCCAAAGAUACAUAGACUCGAAUAUAAAGGUGUGACAUCGUCAUUCUACAUCCGUUUUCCCUGUUGGCAUGGGUUGGACGGUUUGGCAGGAGCUAGCAAGCCAGAGGACUGCACCAAGCUUUACUGUCUCUUUUGUCAAUGGUUUUAUGACUAGAUGCCCCUCCUAACGCCAGCCACCUUACAGAGUGCACUGGGUGCAUUUUACGUAGCACCAGCACUGGCGAGGUCUGUUUUGGCAUGGCUUUUACGGCUUGAUGCCCUUCCUAAGGCCAACCACUUUACAAGUUAGACCGGGCGCUUUAUAUAUAUAUAUAUAUAUAUAUAUAUAGGAGACUUAUGCUGAAAACUAAGCAGACCUUACGAAAACAAAAUCAAUACAGGUUGGAAGGAAGAGCAUAUGUAACCUUAUUUGGAAUACAAACAUGAUAACCUUAGCAGUGUUUCAAGCUUCUCGUCAUUAAACUCAGGUAUAUAUACUCGACCACACACACACACACACACACACACACACACACACACACACACACACACACACACACAUGUUUAAAUGCAUGUGCGUGUAUGUGUCUCUAGAUUCGGGUAUAGGGAGUGCAGAAAUGCAAGCGCACGCCAUAAAAUUUGGAAGAGGAGUAACAAAGUCGUUUUGUACAUCCUCCUGAAAAAACAGCUACGCCAAAAAAGAAUGAGCGGUGAAACAAUUUUGAGCUGAUUUUAGCCCAAUAUAUCGAUAGUAAUAAUACCUAUGUUUGAUUUGAUAUUAACAUUGAGAAAAAUUGACUAUGUUUCUAAAAUUUGGGGAACAGCAUUUGCAUUUCCUGAGCAAUAUCCGUUCCCGCAUUUAUGCUUGGGCGAUAUUUUUCGUAUGUUUUGUGCACAUGAGUAGAUGUGCGUGUAUGUAGGCAUUUUCUGUAUCUGUGGAUAGUGACAGAGUAGAUGUUCAUAUAAUAUAAAUAGCUCGUCUCGGUAUUAAAUGUUUUUCUUUUUCUAUCUUUGAUAUAUAUAUAUUUCUUUCUCGAAUACGAGUAUUCACAUUUUUGUUAAACAUUAGCACUAGCAACCAAAUGUUCGUUCAAUGACGUAAUAGUUUCGUAAAAGCGGAAGGUCAUGUAAUAUAAUAUAGUCCUGGAUACACUACAGUUGAUAGUUUCGUCAGUAUCUCAGGAAGAAAUUUUUUGAUGGAUACAUAUGCUCUGAAUAUGCAUUUUCUUCUUUGUUAUAUAAUAGUCAUUCAACUAGCUAGAGUUAGCUACCAAUGUCCUUUAAAUCACAUCCUAACGUCUUGAAAAAAGUAUGUAGAUAUUGUUUAAUUUUCUGCAUUUACAAAUGGAAUGUGUUUGAUCAUAAAUCUGGUCAGUUAUGGGCGACAUUAGAGUAACGUGUUAAUGAGAGAUAAUCAUUUCCCAUUGAUAACUUAUUCCUCCAAAGACAGAUUUCCUCCGCCCCAUUGCAAGUUAAACUGUUGAGGUGCAAACUCUCCAUAGUUGAUUUGUCUAUUUUAGGUUGUUGGCGGUGUUGCUGUUUAGCUCCUGGUCAGCAUUUAUCGAAAGCUUGUUUAUGGUCUAAGCUGCUCCAACCAAGACAAAUCCGUCUUUUUAACGGUAUCUGGGAAUUCAUUAGCCACUGUGUUUUUCACGUUUUCAAGAUUGUCGGUUAUUAGCUGUCGUAAAGUUGACUGGCAUGACUAAUAGACUGUGUGAACACAUAGACACCCUAUCGUUAGCUUGCUGUAAAUUUGUUGAAUCGAUGAGUAAUCUUUGGGUAUUGGACUUAUAUUUUGAAACGAUCCGAACAAUCAUUCGACCAACUUCUUUGACCGCUCCUUUUAGAAGGAGGGAGGAAUACAAUGUUCGUUACAUUGUAACAACUAAUAUUUUUCUGUUUGUCUUUUCUGAUAUAACUCGUUGCAAUGGCCCUUUGUUGUAACUGCAUGGUCAACAGACAAGAAAGUGUUGUACAUAUAUGUCCAAUAUUACAGCUAGAAACAGGAAAUUUACAACUUUCGUGUUUGCUUAAAAAUCUGACAACGUCAUUAAACUUCUGAAGUUUUAUUUCAUGGUUUAUAUUUUAUUAUAUUUAUUAUUAUUAUUAUUAUUAUUAUUAUUAUUAUUAUUAUUAUUAUUAUUAUUAUGUUUGUCAAUGUGGAUAUGUAAGUUUUGUGUUUUUGAAAUAUAUUAUUAAUGCUACAUUGGGCGUAAUGCAUAUUUUGUUCCGUUUGAUGACUCUUUUGAUAAAUGCAUUCCUCUUUUCUAUAGUCGGUGUGCAUUUGGUUCAUGUAAUAAAUUCUAUGUGCGCGGUUUGUUGCUUUUUACUGUUUGGUUUACAUUUACGGUUUGUUUGUUUUUACAGUGUUUUCGCUUUACUUUUGUUAUCUGUUAUAUUUAUUGUAUAGAAUCUGUUUCUGUAUUGUUGUAUAAUGUAAUCUACUAUAUUAUUUGAAUAUCCGUUAUUGACUAGCGUUUGUUUAAUGUCUCUUUCCCAGUGUUUAUUUUGUGGUGGCAACAUUGAAAGGCUCUUCUCAGUAAGGAUUUUUAUAACUGACGGUGUUACAUCUACGUAGAUGGACAAUGACAGUAGCUCCUCCAUACAUGUAUAAGCAUUUAUUAGUGAUUGUUAUAUGGACUGACGUUAAACAACUUCUACAAUUUCUUAUUUCUACUUAGAUAUAAAAACUCGUUGGGUUGUUGAGACUUGUGAAUUAUUUAUCGAAAUUACAUUCGGAUUUUGAGGUGGGGAAUAAAAGUUAUGUUCCAAAUCUUUUUCUUUAAAUUACAAUUUUUUGCUUAUUCAUUUAAGGUAUCCAUCUCAAUAAAUGUCAUCACGUACCUGAUGUAAUUAGCGAAAGUUUGUUUCCGAUACAUUUCUCUCUCGUUUUCUCUCUCUGUCUCUGUCUAUCUGUCUCCCUCUCUCUCGCACACACACACAUACACACAUAUAUAUCUGUGUGUGCGUAUUGAUAUACAUAACCGCACACACACACACACAUAUAAGUAUGCAUAGAUAUAUAUUCACAUAUACAUAAUGCACAUAUACACACACAAGUGCAUAUAUGCACUCACAGGAGUAUGUGUCUGUCAGUAUUGUAAUCAAUUCUAUUUAUGCAUGGUCCAUCGACCUGCUAGAAAAAGCAAUCAAAUCUCACUGAAAUCCUAACACACUAUUCUAGUCAAUACAGAAACCAACAAUGAACAAUGCACUAAACAUUAUUAUAAAAUAGGAUGUGAUGGUCACGGUUAUAACGUCUCCGUUGAUAAGACUGUUUGAUAAGGACGGACCUGGCCAGGAACACCAACAGCAUCAACAGUAAAUGACCCACGUUGCUUCGAACGUAUAUAUAUAUAUAUAUGUAUAUACAGUCGAGUGAUAUUUCUUGCCGCUCAACUUGCUAGAAAUAAAAACCAAAUUUUUUCUCAAAAUAAUCACCACCAUUCAAAAAAGAACUCUGGGAAUUGUAGUCCAGAAUUCAUAGCGUAUUAGAACAAAAAGUAUGUUGGUCACAGUUGGAGUGUCUUUGCUUGUAGGCUUGCAUGCAACGUUAACAAUUUUUUUCUACUACAGUCACAACACCUAAAAUUUGGUUAGGAGGCCAGUCGAUUACAUUGAUUUCCCCUACCCCAGUGUACGACUGGUUCUUAUUUUAUCGACCCCCAAAAAGAUGAAAGGGAAAGUCCACCGCAGUGGAGUUUGCAGAACAAAAAUAGAAUAGGGUGAAGAAAACCUUCGAGUAGCUACUCGAAAUGCUAAAAUUAGAAGCAAAAUCUCCUUGCAUUUAUACCAUGCCAUUUAAAAUAAAAAUAAAUUAAAACAAAAAAUGAUGGAAAGGCGCAUGAUGGAAAAAGGCGCAUGAUGGAAAAAGGCGCAUGAGUGGCUGUGUGGUAAGGAGCUUGCUUACCAACCACAUGGUCCUGCGUUCAGUCCCACUGCGUGGCACCUCGGUCAAGUGUCUUCUACUAUAGCUUCAGGCCGACCAAAGCCUUGUGAGUGGAUUUGGUAGACGGAAACUGAAAGAAGCCUGUCGUAUACAUGUAUGUGUGUGUGUAUAUAUGUUUGUGUGUCUGUGUUUCCACCCACCCCCAACAUGCUUGACAAUCGAUGCUGGUGUGUUUACGUCCCCGUAACUUAGCGGUUCGGCAAAAGAAACCGAUAAUAUAAGUACUAGGCUUACGAAGAAUAAUUCCUGGGAUCGAUUUGCUCGACUAAAGGCGGUGGUGCUCCAGCAUGGCCGCAGUCAGAUGACUGAAACAAGUAAAAGAUUAAAGAGUAAAAAGAGAGAAACAUAUGAUUAUGUAAUCUUAGAUAGACUAUACCAGAAAACACGAGCUGGCUACGAUUGGAACAUUUUUGUUUAAAAGCCCACUCGAUCUCAGCUGACUUGUAUUUAAAUAACAGUACAGGGUCCAUUCGUUCUGUAAUCGAUAGAGCUGUAGUUUCCUCUCGUCUCAUUUUUUUGUUUUUGCUUCUGUGUGCGUGUGUGUUACUUUCUUUUUUCAUUUCUGUCCCCUUCGCCACCAUCUCUGCUCUUUGCUAUUUACUCCUUCCUCGCUUCCUUCUACUAUCCCUUUUCUUUUAACUCUCCCUCUUCCUCUGCUCUCUUACUCUCCCUUUUUCUCAUUUCUUUGUACAAACAUUAGUGAUUUAUCUGCAUCAAUAGGGUUCUGUAUUGAUUAUUUUUUCCAGAAGCAUUCACCCAAUUUCUCCUCUCUGUUCUCACUCCCUCUCUCCAUCCUGACCUUCCUUACGCUCUGUUUCUCUCUCUCCCUCAUCUCUCAGUCUCUCUCAUCUCAUGCCCUUCCUCCCUUACACUCCCUUUUACUUGGUCAUUCUCUCUACGCUAUCUCACACUAUCUGCCUUUGUUAUAUUCCCCACCUGCGGCACCAUCCCAUUAUUGCUCUAAAGAUUGAAACACAGAACACGGCAAACACAUACACACACCCAUUAGGAACACUCUCCUCGACCGAUAUGCACAUAAACGUAUACAUACGCUCACUCACACAUAAAUAUAUAUAUAUAUACACACACACUCAUCUACACUCACAUAAACACUGUUCCACUAUUAUCUCAUAAGCACAAAUAUACACAAUUACGCAUACAAAAACAACUUCCAAUAAAAAGAAAACAAUCCUAAAAAUAACGGCACACAGACACAUACACAUACACAACAAUUUCUUAUUGUCUCAUAUAUAUAUAUAUGUAUAUAUAUAUAUAAUGUGUGUAUGCCCAAUAUAUAAACAGACACAUGUAUGUAAUGUAUGUGUGUGUUGACAGAAAUAUAUAUAUAUAUAUUUGUACUCACACGUUAAAUAUAUAUCAUACAUACAUACACAGUUAUUCACAGGCAAAAAUAUAAAAUAACUGAAACAGACAACGGUGUAAAGUGCGUAAUUGAUGUAACAUCGAUUGAACAUCAGAGAAGAUAGGUGUAGAUAGCGAUGGAGAGGAGAAGAUGGUAGGUGAGAGAAGGUGAAUCGUUGCCGUGGAAGAGGGAUGAGAAGGGAGGGGGUGUUGGAAAGUGAACAAGACAAAAGGUGAAGUGGGGGCGAAUAAAGAAAAAGGGAUUGAUUUUUAAAGUUACAUCAAUACACACACACUCACACACAUAUCGAUAAACACGGAUGUAGAUACAUAAACAGGGAGGUAGUUAGGUUGGAAUCUAUUUUUCUCUGUUUCUGUCUGUCUGUCUAUCUAUCUGCAUAUCUUUCUCUCUCUUAUUAAUAUGUAUAUGUAUACGCACGCACACACACACAUACACACACACACACAAACACACACACGCACAUAACAAGAAACAUUGCACUGUCUUGAAAAUUCUUUUAAAGACUACAUUAUUUAAAGCAAGCAAUAUUGGUUACAUGAUACCUGGGAAAAAUAACGCAAAAAAGAAAUGAGUUAUUCAUUGUCGGAAUACUUUUGAUCAUAAGCCUGCUGAAUGAUAGUCUACCUAGGGCUAAAUAACAGUUAUAAAAUAUAAAACAAAAAAAGAACAACCACAGGAAGAUGAAGCAAUAAUGAAUACGUCGGAUAUUCUUUUUGAAAGGUAGAUGUAAGAGGAAUUUUAAGCAGAAGUGAGAGUAAAAUGAAACGUAUGUCUGUGUUUGGGAGACGGAAAAGGAAAACAGAGAAGGGCUGAAGACAGAGGAAGAACUGAAAAUGAAAUGAACUGAAAUAAAACAUAUGGAAUGUUGUAUGUAUGAAUGUAUGAAUACUCUAUACACGUGCAGAAUGCAAUAAGUAUUUUAUCUGAUCCGGUGACUUGUUUGUUACUCUGGAGUUUCCGUAAUGUAGUCAGUUUUUCAAACAAAAGAACACAGGUGUAACUGGUCAUUAACAAUUAGACUAACUUAGAUAAACUAUAUCUAUCUCUUUCCAAGUGUUCUAUUCCUUCUCAUCAACAUUCUUCUCCUCCUUCUCCGGGGAAUGUCUCCCUCCAUCCUUCAUUUCGUCCUGUGAUAAUGGAAAUUGUAGAAUGCCGAGUCGAAUUAAAACAUUUGUUAAUGAAACCAGUAACGGCAUCGAAUUUUAUUAUAUUUCUCACCACUCUAGCAUGGAAAAGAUAAGUUCUUUCUAGGCAUAUAUAAGGAUGAAGGAGUCAUUCACAAACCUCUCUCGUCGUGUGAGUGUGAGGUUUUGUUCCAGGGCAAGAUGUCGUCUGAGAAACAAAGAGCAUGCUCCGGAAAUUCUGUGAACUUGCAGCAACUCUGUAUCAUUGUCAAAUCAAAAAUCAUCUCCCUGACGAUUAUAAUUCUCACGGGAAACCUUCGCCGGUGACAAUAUUCCAUUUUCUUAUCUAAAGAUAGGGUGUUGGUCAAAAGAAAGCUAUUACUAUUAUGAUGAAACACGGUGGAUUAAUAGAAUCAGAUUAACAUAGAAGAAAAUAUUUAGAUAAAGUAGUGAAUUGUGAUAGCAACAGAAUAUUUAGCUCAAUAAGAGUAGCAAGACCAGAGUAACCAAUGAAUUUAUGGCCAAUACAAACUAUGUUGUUUGCAAUUGUAUUGAUGCGAGACAGGCAAAGCGGAAAAUAAAUAAAUGAAUAAAUAAAAACUUGAGAUGAUGUAGUGAGAUUGGAAAUAAAAUGUUUUACGCAAUUUUUGAUAUUAGUGGGGAGGACAGUCGGACAAUACAGUUUUCGAACAACUUAAUACAAUAGAAUACUUUGGUUGAGAAGCUAGAAACAGAAAAAUAAGUAUAAACCCAGUGGUUCGGGUGCAUUUGUAGACUAGCUAGUUCACAUGCGAAUAAUAUAUGAAAGAUAAAAGAGAGUAGCAGGAGAGAGUGAAAGUGUGUGUAUGUUUGUGUUACACAAUGAUAUUGAUUUCAAAUUUUGACUUACGGCCAGCAAUUUCGGGGCAGGGCAGAGGUCGAUAACAUCGCGGUACAUAACUGGUACUUCUUUCAUCGACCCCGAAAAGAUGAAAGACAAAGUGACCACGACAGAAUUUGAACUUGAGAACGGAUGAAAUUUUCCUAAGCAUUUCACCCAACGUAGCUAACUAUUCUGCCAGCUCACCACCUUAUGUUACUCCCUGAUGUUGAGACGUGGACUGGUUAGAUAACCUUGGAAUGCAUAAAGAAAUCCCGAGACCAUGGGUGGGGAGGAAUAUUGGUGAAAAACUCCAGCUUCAGGAAUAUAACGAGACCAACUGCAUUUGAUUUAUUUGUACUCCUUUAUGUUAAUCGUUGCCUUUCAUCAUUCUAAGGUAAGAUAAAGAAAAUAACAAUCAGAAUACUAAAGUCGAUGAAUUCAAUAAUAAACUUCCCCCUAAAAUAUUACAUUCUGCUAUGUUAAAAAUAGUAAUUUAUUAGUAAUAUGUUAGUAAUAUGUCUUCUCAAGUUUGAUCUACAUCUUGGGAUUUACUGUUGAUCGAGAAUUUACGUUCUUAGCGGUAUAAUUUUCUAUCUUGUAUCUUUUAUUAGUUUCAGUCAUUAGACUGCUGUCAUCGACCCCCAGUACUCAAUUGUUUUUUUACUCACACUAUCGGUUCUUUUUUCAGAACCGCUAAGUUAUAGGGACGUCAAAUGGAGGCAGUGGGGACAAACAGACACACAUCUAUGUAUGUGUGUAUAUAUAUAUAUAUAUAUAUAUAUAUAUAUAUAUGUAUAUAUGUAUUAUGUAUGUAUGCAUGUAUGUAUAUAUGCGACGGGCUUCUUUCAGUUUCCGCUUACCAAAUCCACUCACAAAGCUUUGGUUGGCCCGGGGCUGAAGUAGAAGACACUUCCCAAAGGUGACACGCAGCGGGACUGAACCUGGAACCAUAUGGUUGGGAAGCAAACUCCUUUCACACAGCCACGCAUGCGCCUACAUCCACUAAUUUUAGAUGGUCUGUUAUAUUCAAAUCUGCUUGAGCAGAUACACACACUAUACAGACGUUAGUGGAACAAUGGUGAUUCUUUUUCACUUUGUUAUUUUCCUGUAUACUUCCCAACGAUUUAAUGUUUUUGUUUGUAAUUUUCUAGAGGAAGACCCUAUUCUGUAGUUGCUCGUCAACGUGUCUUAAAACAAGUCCCAUUAACUGAACUCCACCCAUAAAUGCUAUGGUAAAAAUAUACUUUUACAAAGUGCUUUGCGAUGGGAUUGAACUUGUUACCAACUCGUUGAGAAGUUAUGUUCUCACUCAUACAGUCAUAUAACGACAUACUGUAAUACCUCGAAUACCGUCGGUGUUACAUUCCAAAACCUCCCACAGAAAUAAUUAAAAUAUAAAAAAUUCUAAAUACCUAUCGGCCACAGAAACUCAGAUAUACUGAGGACUUCACGAUAUAAAUUUAUACAUAUAUUAGCCAGAAAAAUCCGCGAUGUACUGAGUACGUGAUAAGUGAACCGUGAUAUGGCGAGGGAUUACUGUAUAUCCGGUUCACUAAAAACGAGACCACGUACUCAUUAGAAUUGACUUUGAAAUUAAAAUUCGGCUAAUAAAUAAAUGAUAUAUCCGGGUUCAAGCAAACCCGGAUACCUUUUAUUUAUUUAUCUUUUUUUAUUUAUUGAGGAUAUGAUUUUUUUACUUGUGAGUAAGCACGUAACUUCAAAAGAAAGUCAGAAGCGUAAAUAUUCAUAUUCAUCAACAAAUAGGAAACUUUAGAGAGGAAAUAUGUUGGCUUUGUAAGGUAGUGAGCUGGCAUAAACGUAAGCACGGGCGAAAUGCUAAGUGGUAUUUCGUCUGCCGCUACAUUCUGAGUUCAAAUCCCACCGGGGUCGAUGUAAUUGACUUAAUCCGUUUGUCUGUCGUUGUGUGUCCCCUCUGUGUUUAGCCCCUUGUGGGUAGUAAAGAAAUAGGUAUUUCGUCUGCCGCUAUGUUCUGAGUUCAAAUUCCGCCGAGGUCGACUUUGCCUUUCAUCCUUUCGGGGUCGAUUAAAUAAGUUCCAGUUACGCACUGGGAUCGAUAUAAUCGACUUAAUCCGUUUGUCUGUCCUUGAUUGUCCUCUCUCUGUUUAGCCCCUUGUGGGUAGUAAAGAAAUGCCGCUGUGUUCUGAGUUCAAAUUCCCCCGAGGUCGACUUUGCCUUUCAUUCUUUCGGGGUCAAUAAAUUAAGUACCAGUUACGCACUGGGGUCGAUAUAAUCGGCUUAAUCCGUUUGUCUGUCCUUGUUUGUCCCCUCUGUGUUUAGCUCCUUGUGGGUAGUAAAGAAAUAGGUAUUUCAUCUGCCGUAACUUUCUGAGUUCAAAUUAGCCGAGGUCGACUUUGCGUUUCAUCUUUUCGGGGUCGAUAAAUUAAGUACCAGUUACUCACUGGGGUCGAUGUAAUUGACUUAAUCCCUUUGUCUGUGCUUUUUGCUCCCUCUAUGUUUAGCCCCUUGUGGACAAUAAGGAACAAGAAACGUUAGCACGCCAGGUGAAAUGCUUAGCGGCAUUUCGUCUGACUUUACGUUCUAAGUUCAAAUUCCGCCGAGGCUGACUUUGCCUUUCAUCCGUUCGGGGUCGAUAAGUACCAAGUGAGCAGUGGGAUCGAUGUAAUCGAGUUAUUACCCACCCCGCCCCGAAAUUGCUGGCCUUGUGGCAAAAUCUGAAAUCAAUAUUUCACCUUGUCGAAACAGCCUCACUUAUUCGUCAAUUCCAUUUCGAAUACUUGCUUCUGAUUUUUGUUUUUCUAUUUAUGCAGUGAAAUGAAUACGACGCGCCGCAAUGUUUUGAAAAUAUAAAUUCAUUAAAUUAGUUCUAACGAUUGGGUGUGUUGAGAAAGCAUUUUAUUCAUAAUUUCGAUAUACGUAGUUAUGAUUAUUAAAGCAAGGUAUAAUUUAGAACAAUUUCAAAACAAAUUUCGUGUGUGUUUGUGUGGUUGUGUGUAUGUGUGUGCGUUAAAUUUUCAUGCAAAACGUGAUCAUUUUCUUCGGUCUUCAGCGUACCACGAAGUCAAAAAUUAAACUUACCGAAUUAGUGGAGGGAAGGCCCAUACAGUUUUCUGUAAAACUCUCGAAGCCUAUUGUAAAAUUGUUCAUUACAAUGUCUGAACGAAGUACUCUCAUUUCAUUGUCAAUCUCCCUUUAUAUCUAAAAUAAUCACCAAAUUUGCAAUUAUUCACAACUGCAUGUAUUCUAUGAAUAAGUGUAUUUAGCUGGAAAGGACGCUUCUCAGUAUAUUUCGAUAUAUGUACUAAGGUUGCGCAAGAACAUUUUCAUUAUUGCUGUAUUAUUUUAAUUCUUUAUUUGUUCCAGCCACGGGGCACUGCUAUCAUGUAGAAAAGAUCUUGAAACUUAUUUUGUGUACAUCCGUAUAUAACUACACCAAUCAGUGUAUUUCUUUGAGUCUGUGUGCAUAUCUGAACGUGUAUGGUGCUUACUGGUAAGAUAUUGAUAAUGAGAUGCAACCGUUUUGCUUUCCAGCCAUAUAUUCAUAUACCAGGUUCUUCUUUUUAUCAUCAUCAUUAUUGCCAUAAUUAUUAUUUGGCAGAAUCGUUAGCUCGCUGGGAAAAUGCAUAGCGACAUUUCGUCCAUACUUACGUACUGAGUUCAAAUUCCACCGAGGUCUACUUUGCCUUUCAACUUUUCGGGGUCGAUAAAUUUAGUACCAGUAAAGUACUGGGGUCGAUGUGAUCGACUGUCCCCCCACCUCCAUCAAAAUUUCGGGCCUUGUGCCUAUAGUAGAAAUAAUCAUUGUUGCUAACGUUUCCUGUUUUUCUUGCAUGAAAGACAACUUAUUUAGCAGCAUUCCUUUCAGUUCUUUGCAUUCUGAGUCCAAAUACCGCCGGGACCAACUUAGCCUUUCAUCUUUUCGGAGUCGAUAAAAUAAUUCUAGACAUGUACCGAGAUCAAUGCAGUCUACUACUUCUUCCUGUAGCAAGUCUUGUUCCAAGAUUGACCUUAGAUUAAAUUCAAAUUUCCAUGUAACCGUAACCACCGACCUGCAUAUCUUUUACACUAUCUUCCUCUCUUUUGUUAUUGGCGGCGGCUUGCUUCUAUGUGGGAUAAAACACCAAGUAGUAUUUGGACGACUCCUUAGUAACCUGAAUUCAAACUCAACCGAAGUAAACUUUACCUUUCAGCUUUUCGGGGUCGAUAAAUAAAGAACUAGUCCAGCAUGAUGGACUGACAGAAUUCUUAGCGCAUUCGACGAGAAGUCUUACAGUUCUUUUAUCCGGCGUUGUGAUUCUGAGUUCUUUUGUGUAUAACAUUUAAUGACUUUAUCCUGUUGUCCAUUGAACAUCAACUUAUUUUCUUUGAGUGCCAAUGGCGGAUUUUACUCUGUCAAGCGUUCUAUCCAGGUGUUCAGGUUUGAAGAAAACUUCCUUUUCAUCCACCAAUCUCAGAGAUAUUUAAAUAUGUAAUUUAAUAGACGCUGUCAUUUUCUCGUAGUUUAAAUUGUGAAAUUUGGAGUCAAAUAUGUUCUUAUAUAUAUAUGUGUGGUGUGUGCGCGUCCACCAUCUUGUUACACACUGUAGUAACUUGUAUAUUAUAUAAUCAAAAGCCAAUAAGAGAGCCUUAUGCAGACGCACGACUGCUCCCUCAGAUAUUUAGCUGCAAGAAAUAACAGUUAAAUAUCCAUAAAAAUCACACCCUAUUGUCUUGAAAUAGAAUGAGACAUUAGGUAAAGUAAUCCAAAAUUACACGGAGCUAUAAGAAAGAAAACGAGCGAAAAUAAACCCUGACCACCUUUGAUCAUGGGUUGGCUCAAUAGGGGCUGAACCAGCGCUACACAACAACAACUACAACAACAAGAACAAGGACUAUGUUCACAAAUACAUUCAUACGCUACGUUUUUGCACUAUAUAUGGUUGCACAAUAUAUAGAGCUUCUAAUUUGCAUUAGACAUCUAACACUUACUACCCAUGCAGGCUUCUGACUACUGUUUUAACAAAGGCUUUGUUUUCUUUCUUCCUUUCUUUGGCAAUCGUUUGUUCUGAUGCAGCCAUCAUAAGAAUUUCUGUUUACCUCUUUAGUUCUCCAUUUUCAGCCAAACCCAUUGUCCUUCUCCCCGCCCUUCCUCCUUCUUUUCCUCUUCUUCCACUUUCUCCUUCUUUCUUUUUGUCUGACGAACUGCUUCUACAAAUGUAAUUUUUUUUUCUAUCCAGUUUUCCAUCUUCUCUGUUUGUUUUUCCUUUUUUAUUUAUUCAUUUAUUUACUUUUCUUCGUAUUUUCGUUCUUUUAUUUAUUUUUAUUUUUAUUUUUAACGUGUUAAUCUUUUCUCUACUCUUGUAUAUACUCUCACCGUUGAACUUCCUGGCUGCACACAUAAUAAAAACUCUUUUUUUUUCACAUUUGCAAACCUGCCUCGUCGUCAUCAUUAUUCAUAUCAUCUCCAUCAUCCCCCAUAUCAUCAUCAUCAUCAUCCUCAUCAUCAUCAUCGUUGUAAUCAUUUUCAGCGCCAUGGUUAUAGAAGUCAUCAUUAUUAUCAUUAUCAUCAUUGUGGACUUUGUCCUCAUAAUCCUCAUCUUCGUAAGUAGCAGCAGCAGCAAUAGCAGUUGCAUUAGCAAUAUCGACAAUAGAAUAGUAGUAGUAAUAGUAGUAGUAGACAGUGUUAACCGGGGCAAGGCUUUUGUAUUUUUUCUCCCUGAAACCUAGGAGAGAAGAGACGAUGGCUAACAAAAAUCAAUUAAUUGACGUGGUCAAUGCUCAUUAUAUUGCUGGCUGAAUGAUUAGAUGUUGCAACAAAACUGGCUGGUAAGUGCAAUAGGCGCGAGAGAGAAGGAAAGAUACAAAGAGGGAAUACAAAAGAAGGAAGAAGAAAUAAAGUAGAGCUAUAAACUGAGUGCAAGAGAUAGAUAGGUAGAUAGAGAUAGAUAGUGUGAGAGAGGAAGUGAGCGUGGUGGUCGUUAGAUAAAAGAGAGGUGUAUAGAGAAAUGUAUAAAGGGACGGAAGAGAGAGAGAGAAACAUUUUGAGAAUAUUGGAAUACUGUAGACGAAGUGUGGUGCGUCAGACGAGUAUAAAUAAUUAAGAUCGAUAGAAUAAACAGCGGCUACAAAAACGUAUUGGAGUACGUAUGUAUGUCUGUGAGUGUGUCUGUGUAUAAUGUACACACAUACAUUGUGUAUAUAUAUAUAUAUAUAUAUAUAUAUAUAUAUAUAUAUAUAUAUAUAUAUAUUGUAGGAGAAAGCUUAUUGAUUAAUUUAUUUAUAGAUUUAAUGAUCGAUCAAUUGAUUGAUUGAUAGCCAGUCAGAUAAACAUAUAGGCUAAUUUAUUAACAAAUAAAUAGAAACGCUAUAGAGAGAAUAGUUAUUUAUACACGUAUACUUACAUAUGUAUACCUGUAUCCAUACACACAUAAAAAUGUGUAUGAAUAUAAUUAUAUAUAUAUAUAUAUAUAUAUAUAUAUAUAUAUAUGUGUAUGUGUGUGCACACCUGUGAGCUACUGAGGAAGGUGUAUGUAUGUGUGUGUGUAUGUAUGUAUGUAUGUAUGUAUGUAUGUAUGUAUGUAUGUAUAAAUUCAUACGUAUCUUGGUCUGAUUACAAAUUUCAGAUACACAGAACAUAAAUAUACGAAAAAUAAUUAAGGAAAUAUUCAUUGAACAUUGAAAUCCAGCAGGUGAUUUUAUAGUGUAGCAAUAAUAACAAAUCUUUACAUUUUAUUCGUUUUUGUUGGUCGAUUAUUUAUUUAUUCAUUUAUGCGACUGCUAUAUUAGGGAAUUUGCAGUGUGCGUAUGGCAACUAAUUUGCAGAAACACACAAUCAGUACACAAACUACAAAAUGUACCAAUAAUACGAAGCUAUAACACACCUAUUGGAGAUAAACAUAAUGUGUGUUCAUUCAUAUACAGAGAAAAAAAUAUGUGUACGCCCAUACUCAUACACAAACAUAUAUACUUGUGUGCUCGUAUUCAAAUAUAUGUGCAUGCACAUACAUAUGUAUGUGUUCGUGUGCUUGCCAUUGAAAUUGAGUGUAUAUGUCUGAAAGUCUAGCUAUAAUCUCUUUUGUAUCAAUGAAGCUAAAAAUAGAGCUAUAAACAUCUAAAUCAGCAAUAGGAACAACACCAAGAAGGCGAGUAAUAAACUCGUACAGAACCGGAAAGCACAUGUCAUAUAAUUCUUGGCAGGAUUUCCAUCAAGACUAGUGAGGACAUAUAAACCCUUUACGGUCAAUCUUUUGCACUGACCUCUGAAAAUAUUAAUCGUAGGCGUCGUUGUUGAUAUUAUUGUUUAACACGAGAUCAGAUCUGAUUCAACAGACUUAAUGUUUAAAAGCAUUCAAGCUGAGACUUUUGCUUUUUAUUUUAGACAUAAUUUAUCUACGUUUGUGUAUUUCCCGUUUGAAGAUAUCUAAGCAUAUCUAAGAGAAAGUUGAUUCUUUUUUCUAACAGUUCAGGUCACCAUAUGCCGGCUCCUCGUUAACUGUUUUUCGAAAGUUGAGGUUGAAGUGUCAACCUUCCGCAAGUGUUACAAACUUGGAUAAGAACAGCCACAAAUAGGGGCUGGGGUAGAAAACCAUCUUUACACUUUCAGCUUAGCAUCAGUGGAACCUUACGAAGUACGACAAAUCCCUUUUGUAUUUCGGAUACUACCUCAUUAAUUGCAUUUACAAAUGAAUCAUUAAUUUCGUAUGAAGAUGGGCUGUGAGUUUGGGGCGGCUUGGCCUGCCAUGUGUUGAAAGAGUGUUCCAACCCUACAGUUAUCGUUUAGCAGCAGUUAAACCUUACAGGGCUAACUACAAUAACUUAGGUUUUAACAACGAAACUCACGUCUUUAUUUCAAAUACCCUUUUGACUGUAUUAAUCAAUUGUCUUUUACAUUUCGGCUAAUGAUAGUGUGCUAUUUAGGGUAGAUUUGGCUGUUGUGGUGUAGCUUAGAAAAGAGGGAUGACGCUAUACUUGGUGUAUAGAGUCUGUCAGUCUUAAAGAAAUUAAUUAUUGGUGCUUCAGCAACAUCAAUUCCAGCUUUGUUUCCGACAUCGCAACCACGACUGCACAAUCCAUUAUGGCCUUCAUGUAGAUCAUUUAGCAGCCAUUUCUAGUAUUACUUAUGGUCUUUGAUUCUGUUACAGCAUAUAUUUGGGUCAUCGGUUCAUUGCGGUCUUUAUAUAAAAUAAAAUUCGAAUACACACUCCAGCAUGGCCACAACCGCAAAUGCAGAAGUUGGUAAAAGAGCAUAUAUAUAUGCGACGCAUUACGGUUGCUAUUACAGGGUAGUGUGACAUAUGUUUAAACAUACAAACUGCAGGCUAUUUCUAGAUACAAUGCGACUUCAAACUGAUUUAGUUUUCAUUUCUGAGUGUGUAUUAUUAGAUUUGAAAACAAAUUACAAACAGAUUAUAUAUCAUGAUAUUGAACGGACAACAGAAUUAAUACAAAGAAAAUUUAACAUCUUUGCUGGAUAGGUGUCGCUCAUCUAGUAUAACUAAUAAUAUGUGUGUAUUUGUGAGUGUAUUUGUGUAUUUGUGGGUAUGUAUGUAUACAUAGUCACAUCUCAUAUUCACACACAUAUAUAUCACCGUGUGUGUGGGGUGGGUUUAUACAUCUAAAUGUUUAUACAGACAGGUACACACACGCACACACACACACACGUGUAUAAAUGUAUUCGUUAUUUUUCCUCGUCUUUGUAUUUUUCUCAUUUACUGUCGUAGUGAUGUGCUGUCAUUGUUACUGAUGCCAAUAACUACUACUACUACUACUACUACUACUAUUACAGUUCUCUUUCGCAGUAGUAGCAGCAGCAGCAGCAAUAGUAGUAGUAAUGUAGUUAAUAUGUUUCCAAAGAUUUGUGAAGAUAAAUGAAGUCUGUCAACAUCUUGCGACAUGAAGCUAUUAUAAUGUCUGCUUAAUUUGCCUACCAAUACUUGCAACAUAGCCAACAGAUCAUCAACAAAAACACAAGAGUCUACCUCCCUUUCUUCCUCUUUCUCUCUCUCUCUCUCUCUCACCAUCUCUCACUUUUCUCUUAUACUUUUCUCUGUUUCUCUUUCUCGCUCAUCACUUCACUGUUAUUGCCUUAUAUAUUCUGAGAAUGUUAGAUGCUAUUUUUUCUCAUUUAUACUAUUACGUUAUUUCAAAGAGAUAUGCGAGUGACUUGAGUAGCUUAAAUUAUAUUUGUGUUGGUGUUUUGUUGUAGUUUAAUUGAGAGGAAAGUGAUGCCCUUCACAUGCCCUCUAAGACUGUUGGUAUUAAUAUAAUUUUGAUGCCCAUCUUGAACGACAGAAGUUCGACAAACUUUAGGUAGCCUGGCGGAGAAGGGAAAAAAAACCUGGAUGAAAAUGGUAUCCCAUAGUGCUGUGAAGCUGUAAGAAAUUCAAGAUCAUAAUUUGGUGCAUUGAUUUGUCGCUAUCUUUUAAGCUGUUAGAAUACAGAAAUACAACUUUAGUGAGCUUGCAAUUUUGACAUUUAAUUGCUUCUCCCGGGAAACGGUUAGACAUUGAAUGGAUGUGAUAUAGCGUGAUAUAGCCGGGUAAAAAAAAAACCCAACAAAAUCAAAGUUUUCAAGAAAUCACCUUAAAACUGCGGUAUGUAUUGUGUUGUAAUAGUCCACUAUAUUAUUCAACACAUAAACAUGAGCCAAGAAUUCACAUCUCAUAGGUCGCUCGACCUGCUAGAUAUAGCAACCGAAUUUUAAAAUGACAUGCUUUCAUUCCACUAUAAUAAGGGACACUAAGGGCGUAGAAAGAGUUGGUUAAGAGGAAGAGGGAACCCUGCCUUAAGUGUGAAACAGCACUACAAUUCUUCUGAGCUAUAAUGCUCGCUAAUUAUAGAGUGGCCAAUACUAAAACCUCUUCUUCGGCGAGGGAAAUAGGGACGUUAGCUUAACUAUAAUUCCUAAAACCUGAGGACGAUGUUGAGAAAAGGACAUUUAGGUGCUAUGGCUAUAAGCCAUCCAUUCCCAUGAGUGGAAAACUGAGAGAAGACUUCCAACCUUAGUGUAUCAUUUCUUUUCAAUGCUUCUGCUACGCGACUGAAGGAAGCCUUCAAUAUUAGUUUCCUAGAAAAAGAAAUGAUGGUCACAACUAGUUCUUUCGCUAGAGGCCUCCUGACUAGUUUACCUGAGGUAAAACCCUACCACCAGCAACAACGAAAACAACAAACAUAUAUACACAUACAGUUUUACAUGCCAAUAAUAACAACUACAACAAUAACAACUACAAUAAUAACAACUACAACAAAUACUUUAGGAAUAAGAACCCAGGUUCAAAAUUUCCCCAAGACACCUGAUGAAGGUUGGAGGGUAUAUCAGCCGAAGCGUUGUGUUAACAACAAACAAGAUGAGGACAAAUAUCCGUCAAAUGUAAAUAAUGUAAUUAUAUGAAAACUAGAUACACCUAUUAGUUUUACGUAAUAUGCUAUACUGGAUGAACAAAUAGUUAUAAAACGAAAUUCUGCGAAUAAAAAGGAAUAAGAAAUAUGUAUGAAAACAUAUGAACAUAGUCUCUUUUAUAUAUGUGAUGCCAUUAAAGAAUGAUUGCUGGAAGAAAAUAUAUUUAAAGAUCGGCCUAUAUUCACAGAACAAAUUUAUUCAUAUACCGGUGGCUAUGACAAAUAGUCAGUCGGGUUAAAUACAUUAAAAUACUCACCACAUGUGUUCACAUAUACAGUUAAACAACUGUAUACUUUCUGCCUCGCAGAAUAUUAGUUAUAAUGGUAUUUUAAAGUACUUUCACAUCCUACCUGCAUGUAUAAGCUCACAAAAUACGUAUUCACUGAAUGCAGGAGGUUGAUGUUGUUUAGGCCUCAAUAUCAGUAGUGACCAUCUCAUCCUUUUUCCUCUGUGACGGUAAUACGGGAUCACAUAGUUUAUGUUUUUUUAAGACGAUGCGUGUGAAGGGGAGAUUGUGAUUUGAGGAAGAUUUAUCAGCCAUUUCUAGCAAAUCUUGACUGGAACACAAUAGAUUAUGCAUAUCCGCAGAUAUGCAUAACGGUCAACUACACUCACUUAGAUAGACAUGCAGCAAAGAACCCCCUAUAUAGCUGCUUAAUGUUCUGGAAAUACCAGCUAAAUCUCUCUACUGACUCACUAUUGACAAGCCGACAAAAUAGCAAGGUUAUUGACAGAUUAGAUAAUCUACUUCAAGAUGGACAAUGCCCGAGUGGAAGAUACAAUAGUGAAUGCUGAAGUCCUUUGAAUGUAAUUCUGCUCAGUGAAGAUUAAUCUGGUUAAAGAAUAAUACUAACAAUGACAAUAACAACAACGCAAUCGAUAUUUUAUUGAUAUUGGGGGCUACGAUAGUUUGCACAAAAUACAUUCCAAUGAUGACCACAGGUAUAGAAGAAUGCACUUUUUUUUUCGUUCAUUGAAUUUUGAUUAAAUUUAAGGUCAAAUAUUUCUUCAGAAACAGAACGAGGCGAAUUUGAAGCCUGAACGAGGAUUUUUCAACGAUUUCAUUGAUCCCUAUUACUCGAGUAUUAAUUAUUUUAUUGACCCUGGUAGCAUGAAAGGCGAAGUCAACGAUCAUAUGAUUUUAACUAACAACAAAGAAUAACGCUGUGAAAAACAGAUAAUAGAAAACAGUGGUACUCCUGCAGCUGCUAAUACUGCUGCCACCACCACCACCACCAGCCCUACUACUACUACUACUACUACUACUACUACUACUACUACUACUACUACUACUACUACUACUACUAAUAAUAAUAAUAAUAAUAAUAAUGGCUUCAAAUUUUGGCACGUGGUCAGUUUCGGGCAAGGGGUAAAUCGUUUACAUCGGCCUAAGUACAAUACUGCUACUACUUUUUAUCGACUUCGAAAAGAAGAAGGAUUUGAACUCAGAAUGUAAAGAGCGGGAAGAAAAAUUGGAGAUAAUUUUUGCGACGAGCUAACGACUCUACCAGCCUGCUACCCGGAAAUCUCUGAUUUAGGUACCAGGCCAGCAAUUAUGAGGGUAAAGAUUUAUCGAUUAAAUCCACUCCAGCACCUGACUGGUACUUUAUUUUAUUAACCUCGAAAGGUUGAAAAGCAGUACUACCCUCGGCAGAAUUUGAACUUAGAACGUAAAGAGCGGGGAGAAAUAUCUUAAAGUAUCUUUCCCCGACGUUCAAAUGAUUCUGCCAACAACAAUUGCUUCCAGGUUCGGCAGAAGCCAACAAUUGAUGGCGGGAUUAGUCUUCUUAUAAAGAACCUAAUACCUGAUUGUGUGUUUAUUUUAUCGCUCCCGGUAGGACUGACAACAGGAGAUAUACAAGGUCUGAUCAAUAAGUAUCCGGACUGAUGACAUAGUAACGAUGCUGAAGCAAGGAUAGUGAAGCUGCUUGGCACAGAUUGGCCCUGAAUUCUGCUGUUCAUGUGCGCUAAGUUUUAACGCUCUAGUUCACUUCCGAUGUUUACAGCAGUGCUUGGAAGGAAGGUGUGAAGCGUGUGAUCGUCGCAUUGACCAAGCCAGAAAAAGUUGUCAUUGCGAUACCAGCUCAGAGCCCUACGCAAAGAUGAAGAAAACGUAUGAUGAAGAGUGUAUGAGCUGCACAUAAGUCUACGAGGUGUUCAGACGUUUCCAAGAUGGCCGAAAAAAUUUCAGUGUUGACGAACAUUCUGGUAGAUCCACAACCAACAGAACUGAGAAAGACAUUAUAGAUAUUCGCGCAAAUGUGAGGGGAAAUCUUUGAAUCAAUAUCUGUGAGUUAUCAGGGGAUAUGCAGAUUAGUUGCGUUUCCGUUCAGUCCAUUAACACUGAAGAUUUGGGUAUGAGACGCGUGCCUGCCAAGUUUGUGCCAAAACUGCUUUCAGCCGACCAAAAGGACACUCGGAUUUCAGUUGCACAAGAUCUCCUUGAUUAUGUCUAGAACGUUGAAAACUUUUCGUAGGUUUCUCAGCAGGUAUCACCAAGCUUUUGGCAAAAUUUGAUGCAGAUUCUCUACUAAAAUUUCUCUCUUAUGGUCAAUGCGUUGAUCACACGUUACACACCUUCCUUCCAAGCUCUGUUGUAAAUAGGGGAAGUGAGACAGAACGUUAAAACUUAGUGCGCAUGCACAACAGAGUUCAAAGUCAAUCUGUACCAAGCGGCUUCACUCUCCUUGCUUUAGCUUCGUUACUAUAGCAACAGCUCCUAUCGAUUAGACCACGUAUACAUAAACAUUAUCUCCGUCUAAUGAAUCUUUGUCUAUUCAUGCGUUGUUGAGCACUCAUUCACAUUGUUCGAAAUUUACACACACACACACACAUGCUGUGUGUGUAUACAUAUAUAUAUAUAUAUAUAUAUAUAUAUAUAUAUAUUGUAUCUUUGUAUUUCUGUAAAUGUAAGCACAUGUAUCUAUUGUGUAUGUAUUCACACAGAAUGGUUAAGAAGUAUACUUCACAGUCACGUGUUUUAGGUUCGAUACCACUGCGAGUCGCGCCAUGUCUUGUCAGAUAAACUUACUACACAAACAUUCUGUUAGGCGGUUAUGAGUCUAGGGUCCAAAGUUGUCAUAGAAGCACACUGGGGUAGAUGAAAGGUGAGGUUUUAGAUAAAGAGGAUGUCAUUGAAUUGAUUGAACAACUGAAUAGUCAUCGUCGAAAUCGACAAAGAAUCCGUUUAUUUAAUUUUACGGGUCUGUACGUGUAUGUAUAUGUGCAUUUUUGUAUAUAUGUGUGUCCAAAUAUGUAUGUACGCCUGCAUAUGCCUGUGUAUAUAUAUAUAUUAUGCAUGUAUGUAUCUUUGUGCACAUUUUAUAUAUUAUGAAUAUGUGUAUCUAUUACAUAAUGCGCACAUUUAUACUCAUACAUAUUUAUGCAUAUAUAUAUUUAUACAUUAUGCAAGUGCAUAUCUAUGGAUUCCUUUAUGUAUGCCUAUAAGUAUCGAUCUAAUUGUAAGUACAUGUGUCGAUACAAUAAUUUAUGUAUUUGUUUAUGUCUGUAUAUACAUAGACACAUACACACAAUUGUAUGUAUAGUAUAUGAACAUUUCGGGUUUUGCUAUUUUUAAUGUUUGUUUAUUUAUGAUCUCCAAUUGCUAUUGACAUUCGAAGAUGAUUUAACAUCUCAAUUGAUUACUUAUUUAUUUCGUUUAUACAUUUCCACGAUACUUUAUCUAUUUAUUUAUAUUUUUGGCCUUUUUUUUGCCUCAAUUUAUCACUUCAUUCAUUAAUAUAUAUUAUGAGAGCUGAUAAUGAAUCUGAGAAAUAAUUAUCUCUACCUCGAUAAAUUUUCAUUGGUGCACCAUAACAAAACAUAAACAAAUCAACACCAUCAGUAGCGCCAUCACCAACUUCACUGCCGCCACCAACAGCAAAAAUAAUCUUCCUUCUGCUAGUAAUAAUGAUAAUAUUGAUAAUAAUAAAAUUAGUAGUAGUACCAACAACAACAACAUCAUAGAAGAAAAGAUACAUAUCAGUUUGUAGAUUGAUUAAGCAGAAGCUCGAUAAUGUGCUAAAACAACCACUAAUUAGACAUAAAACAUCAGAUUCUUGCAAACAGAAAUUUAAUGUUCAAUAUGAUGUUUGUGUUUUCAAAUUGCUGACGAUGGAAUUUAUAAAAUGUGUGGAAUGGUAUUGGCGGAUGUAGGAUGGACUUGUGUUUGCAGAGAAAAAUAUUUUUCAAACAUAUUUUUCAAAAUUAAUCUUUUAAAAUUGUUUUGUUUUAAAAUCAAGAAUGCUCUUUAACUGCCCAGGUUUGCCUGUCUGGUGAGAUAAAAGUCAGAGUUCUAUUAAGAUUUUACCUCUAGCAAGUGAAGGACGGUGGGAAUGGUGGUUCUGUGGCCUUUCAAUCUGCUAGAAAUAUCAUCUAGAUGUCUUUCAAAUCAUUCUCUCCUGUUUAAAAAUAAACGGAAAAUGAGCCCUAAAGAAAUCAUUAGACAAAUGUAGGCCUAGGAGUGUACAGAAAAAGAGGACAUUUUUGAGAAUGACACAUAGUUAAACAUCGAUUAGGUACGAACUGAUGAACUGACUUAUGGCUAAAUAUCUACAACACAAACAAAUAGUUUACCUGAAUUUAUCUAGUAUAAUGUGAGAUAGUGCUUGAGACAUGGAACCGAUCUCCGAGGCUGUUGUUUUCAAAUGCCUGCAAUAACAAAAUAAAAGGCACGCAGUACGGCGAGAUACUUUCUCAGUAACACCAAUACAAAGAGGACAUAUUCAGCUAUCAUAAAGUUUAUCUUGAUAUAUUUGACUAUAAAUAUUUAUCAAAUUAGGCAAAAGUAAUAAACUCUCAUACACAAGUUAUUUCAGAAGUAUCGUUAGCAUUUAAAUGGCAAAUAAAAAUUUAAUUUUGCGUUUUGCUGCAAUUUCUAUUUUAAAUAUUUAUGAUACUAGCUAGUAUUUUGUUGUGAAUAUCUUUUGAUAUGUAUGUUGGUUUAUAUAUUUUUUAGAAAAUUCUCGUUACCAAAAGAUGAGUGAGCAUUAAUUGUGCUAUAAAUGGUACAAUGUAGCUGUUGUCCUAUUCGCUUUUAUGUGCAUACCCAGAUCAACUGCCCAGGAUGCACUGUGCGGCUGCCAGUAUGACCGGGAAGGAUAGUAAGCGAGCUAUCUCCGAAUACCUGAACAACAGGAUAAUUAAAUAAUGUGGUGAGAAGGUGGGUGAAGAAUAAACUGUGGCAGCGGGAGUUGUGAAGAAGUGAUAGCGAUGGGAGGAAACGAGACGUACCUUAACUUAGCUAAACAAAUUUGUCCUACCCGGAGUUAUUAACCUGUUUACACUAAUAAUAAAUGGACCUUUGAACUACUCUGUAUAACAAACACUGAACAGUUGGUGCUAUCACUAGUACUUAUUUAAUCAACCGUUUGGAGGAUGGGUUUUUAAAAUGACGCCUGGGCCAUUUAUGCUCAGAAGUGUUCCACGAGCAGUCUUGAUAUGCUUCGUUCUAGUUGUCUGAUUGCCUUAUGGAAUUGUAGCAGUACGCUUAUAAAAUUGAUGAAGGAUUAAUUUACUUGUGAUAUUGUUACUAAUAGUUAGAGUUUAAGGUUUGAGGAUGGAAUACAUAUUCAUUUCAGUAAGCGUGGAAAAUUCCUUAUGCACGGAAAUGCAUAAUAUAACUGAGCCUACAGAAAGAUAAACUCAUGUCUGUAUAAAUGCAUGUUUGUAUGUGAAGGUUUGUACGUUUAUAUAUGUGUAUAUGUAUGCAUAUUUGGGUGCAUUAAUAUUAUUUGAAGGCAAUUUUAAGAAAACCAACUAGGCAUUUAUUGCUGGUGUCAUUCUAUAAAUGAGUAUCAGUUGAAGAAUCUAACAGUCAAAAAUAACGGCGCUAGUCAGUUUUAUCUUCGGUUUCAAUAAACCAAGAGAUCAUCUUGUAUGGUAUUUAAUAAACCUGUAUUUGUCUAUUUGCUCAAAUAUAUCGCAAUGGCUACUCUGAGGUAUUUCUCUUCGCUCAGUUUUGCUUACACACACAUACACAAACACACACACACACACACACACACACACACACACACACACACACACACACACACACACACACACACAUGUAUAUAUAUAUAUAUAUAACACAAACACAUACAUCUUUUUUCAAACGGAUACUUUUCUACAUACACUCACAAUCAUAUUCGCCGGAAGACUCAGUAGCAGCGUAGUGAAUCGUCAGCUAACUUGUUAUAAAUGUUAAGUCUACACCAUGUAUUAAAUGUUCUUUCUUUCCGUUGCAAUCUCCAACACACACGCAUAUUAAUGAAUAUGAAUAUAUAUAUACGUGUAUAUACACAUACGCAUACGAACACUUUGUGUAGGAUUCCAAUCUUUGCUUUUUUUGUUAGUUAUCUUUUUAAACCGCUGCUCAACAUAAAUGAAUGGCAUGCACUUAAAACAUGCGCGUGCGAUUUUAACUGCAAUUAAUGCAAAUCUUUUUUAAAUUGGAUUAUUAUAAUUGAUAAAAACAAUCAAGAGUUUUGAGAUGAGGGAAUUUUGUGUAGUUUUUGUUAUUUUAUUAGUUAUUUUAACCUACAGCUUACUUUUUGUGGACUUUUGUGUUUUCUGUUUUGUUUUUCUUUUGCAUUUGAGAGACGUCGUCGUUGUUGAUGUUCGUAAUUAUAGUUUAUGUAACAAUUAUUUUCUUAACGAUAGAAUUAGUGCUUAGCUGAUUAUUAUGAUCCUACUGCUAGACGUAUGAUUGGCAUGACUCCAUGUAUUUUAUAUUAUCGAUUGAAUUCCAGAGACUAAUGCUGGAAUAAAGAGAUAAAUAAAUGAAAGAUAGAAAGAAAAAAAAUGAAGCACAACAGCAACAAUAAAUUAAGCAAAUAUUAAGAGGGAAAAUGAUGUAAUUGGUGAGUGGAUGGGUGAGAGAAAGUCAAUUAAUGAUGGAUAUGAAGCGCCACAUCCCAUACUUUUAUAUAAUCAAAAGAAUAAUUUGACCCAUUAUUAACCAAAAGGUUACCGAAUGAAAAACAAAGAAAAUAUUCCCUCUCGCUUGAUAGGCCCAGGCAUAGCCCCGCGAGUAAAUAGUUUGCUUUGAAACCAAGCCGUCCCAGGUUCACUUCUGAUGUAUAGAACCUCGGGUAAGUCUUUUUUCUUGUAAACUGUAUUUCUCUUUACAAAUUAGCGUGUGCAAUAAUUUACAUAUCGAUACAUAUUAGCUAGUAUAUCUGCAUAUAUCCGUGUGUAUGUUUGCAUAUAUAUGGGGCGGAGGUAUAUAUAUGGGUGUAUUUUGCGUUUAUGAUUACUUGUAUGAACUAGUUUGAGAUUGAGAGCAGAUGGAAGAAUGUAGCUCGAAAGUUGGGAGUGGAUGAAACUACAUGAACGCAGUUCAAAGUUUGCCUUAGGUAUCAGUGGCGAAGUGGGGUUUGUGGGGUCCGAACAGAACCCGCCUUCCACUCCAUCUGUAAUGUCUUCCGAUCUGUCCCAUAAUUCGUUUUUAUAUUUUAUUGCAUUAAAUUUUUAAAGUCACCUUUUUGUUUCCUCAUUCGAUGUAUCUGACCCCCAAAUCAGAUUAUUGCCCCCUCUGUGUUGGCCCCUUUGGGCAAUAAAGAAAUUGGAUUAGUUUGAUAUGUUACGUCCCUUUGUUUCAAAUUAAUUUCAUCGAUUCGUAAACUAGAAACCGACACCAGUUUUAUCUUGAGAUAAAAAUGACAUGAUACAUUAAAACAUGUAGCUUGCAUACUUUAAUUCCUUGAUCCCCUUUACUUGUAGUCACUUAGCCAUCAAUAUCAUUUGAGAUAUAAAGUUGCUAUAUAUCUUUGUGUGUGUACUUAUAUAGCAGGUACACUUGAAAGAAUUUUGUUGUAAUAAUGAUUACAAAAUACAUCAAUAAUUUAUAUUUCUAUAAAUUGUUUGUGUACGUGCUUAGUAUUUCAUUGUAAUUUAGUGGUAUUAACUUUUAGAGUCUUCACAUUCUGGAAGAUACUGUAUUAUUUUAUAUUAUAUCAUUUCGUACUUGUUUGUCCACUCAUGUAGGAAACUUUUUAACAUAAUUUGUGCUACUAAACAGUAUAACCACAAAUAUCUGAAAGACAUAGUUAUGCAUUAUUAUUGUUUGUAUGUGUAUGACAAGUACGAGGAGCAAUCGUUUUAAAUUCUCAAAAUUCUCAAGAACAAAUCUCAGGAAAAGUUAACGAAUAUUUAUGCACUACAUGCGUUUUGCUUUAUACUUUGAGAUGUGCGUGCGACGUUUCGGAUAAUAUACUUUUAACAGGACAGAGAGAGAGAGGGUGGAGGGAGAGAGGAAGAGAGAAAGAGAUUAAUUUUGUAAGUAGAAGUAGGUUGUUUUUAUAAAUGUUUGGUAUGGUGGACAUCCAAUUUUCUUAUACUGAUGACACUGAUACAUGUGAUUUGUUUUGUAUUAUCAAUGUAUCAGAGGGAAAUAAAACGAAGAAAAAAACUCAUGGAUGAUACAAAUUCAAGGUUAUACUUUAAAAUAAUAAGUUUUCAAAAACUUUUACAUUUUAAUUAAUCCAGUACUUCACAAAGUGCUGAUAAAUGUUUUUGUUUUUUCAAUUUUGGGCAUGGUGUCAAAAAUUUGGCUUGGAGUGUAAUCCACAGUAUCGAACACAGCAUUUGCUCGGUAUUUAUUUUAUCGUCCUCGAGAGGAUGAAAUUCGACCGCAGAGGGAUAUAACUAAAUACUAUAAACCGUUUAGUUAAGCAUUUCUAUCAUAUGUUCGACAGCACAUUCAGUGGGAGAAGGAGGCACGGCUGCUUUUGUCGGAUCCGUUAUUUAGUGUAUUUAUUAUAUAGAGCGCGGAAGGAUGAAAGGAGACAUUCACUCUUGCGGGAUUUAGAAAUUAGAACAGUAGCACAUAAAUGAACGUAACUAAAUAUGGUGAAGCAUUUAGUCCGGCUUUCUAGCAUUUCUGCUGUAAAAUUUCUCAUCACUAAGAGAGCGCUAAUGAUAAUAAAAUAAAAUAUGUGCACGAAGCGUGAAGAAGCUUCUCGAUAAAUACUGGUAUGCGACAAGCUAAAUCCAUGUAAUACACGUGUACGCGUACACAAGUUCGUGUUUAUAACCUUUGUUAGAAUAUAGCGUUGUCAACUUUUAUGUUAGAGCGUUAUUUAUUUGUUUCUGAUACACUCUUAUGGUUAUACAUCGUGACAUUGUAAUUGCAUGUUUACACAUAAAUAUCUGUAUGAUUGUGUGUGUGUGUGUGUGUGUGUGUGUGUGUGUGAGAGAGAGAGAGAGAGAGAGAGGGAUAGAUUGUAUAUAUGUAUGUCAGGUUGUAAGAGAGAGUACGUGUGCUCGGGCAUGGGACUGUUUGAGACUCUUCUAGCUUAUAUUUGUGAGUACAUUUUCUCAUAUACCAGAUACAUAAACAAACUUGAUACGAAUAUAUAUCAUGUGUCAUGAACUUUUACUCAUCCCUAUGUGUGUGUAUAUAUAUAUAUAUAGUGAUCUUACGCAGCUACGUGCGUGUGUGAGAAGGGAGAAGCGGUUCUUAUAAAAUUGGAAAAUAUACCAGAUACAAAGAGACAAAAGUUUGCAAACAAGGUUUCACAAUGUACAUGCUCUCUCUCUCUCUCACACACACACACACACACACACACACACCAUGUUUCUAGAUAUAAUAGUUAAUAUCGGAAAGUAAGUGAUGUCACAUAGGGUAAAACCGAAUAUAAACAGUUCAUUUUUAUGUGGGAGCAAAUCAACGGUUGGCGUUUAAUAGGAGAUCAGCUUGGGACGUUUAAGAAAAUCUUAAAAUCCAAUCUCAUAGUGUGUUACAUUCACGCCGGCUAUUGGAAAAGACCAGCUCUGAUCCAGUCACUGGGAGAAAAAGAAAAAAAAAUGUGAUUUGAACAGUGUAGCUUUGUUCAGGUUUAUGAGCAUCAUGCAUCCCGCUGCAACAAAUUUCGUGACUGACCCCUGACAAGUGACGAAUAAGUUUUACUGCCGGUCAUGAUUAGGCUUGAUUAGCCAUUGCAAGAGUGCCGGCAAUCGAGUGCAUGAUAGAAAGAGAAAGAAGAUGAGCUUGACUACGUCACCAUCAUUGUCAUCCCUGUGAUCAACGUCCCGGCUGCCGUCGUCGUAGUUAUCUCUCCUCCUCAUUGCCAUUAAUUUUAAAUACAUGCGUAUAUACAUACAUUGUGCAUAUGUGUAUAUAUGCGCAUGCGGGCGUUCGUAUCCGCAUACGCAAAAUUCUAUGUUCGUCGAGCAUACCUGUGUAUGUAAGCUUAUGUGUAUUUCUAUACUCAUAUAUGUCUCCGCGUGUCGCAUUCCACAAAUACACAUUAGCGUGUCUGUGCUUGCAGUCCUGUGUGUUGCACGUUUAUGUGCACGGAUGUUUGUAUGUUCGUAUUUACUUCUCUCCCCACUCUCUCUCUCUCUGUCACACUGAUAUAGAUAUAUAUAUAUAUAUAUAUAUAUAUAUAUAUAUAUAUGUACGUGUGUAUGAGUGUGUGUGCGUGUGUGUCUGUGUGGGUGUAAAAGAGAAAUCAACAUGGCGUUUGAUAGGCAAUAGGGAUUAUAUGAGAGGGAAACUGCAAUGCUAUCGUUAUAAAAUGAAACAUGAUUUUGAUAGGUCGACACGUCAUGCGAUAAACUAUUAUAGUUCAUGGCUAUAAAUAUUGACCAAAUAUAGCAAUAAAGCAUAUUGCAUUGCUAUAGGGAUAUAUUAAGUCAGUUUAUCGAUAGGAUUAUGCAGGCUGAAACUCAGACGAACACAGACACACACACACAUUUACAAGCGCAUACAUAUUUACAUACGCACAUGCAAAUACAUACAUAAAUGAUACACAUGGACGCAAUCAUAAUUCUUUGUAUGAGAAUAUCAUAUAAUAUCAUAUAUAUAUAUAUAUAUAUAUAUAUAUAUAUAUAUAUAUAUAUAUAUAUAUAUAUGUAUAUAUAUACGUAUCUGUGUAGUGGUGGAGAUAUCUAAAUACAGGUUAUGAAGAAAAUAUGUAUGAAGUAUCCUCAACGGGAGGUUUUGCGACUUAAACUCACCUACGUAAUAAAGUUAAUUGAAAAACAUUGAUUGGCAUAGAGAUUAGUAUGCAAUACGUUCCUCUAAAUCAGUUUAAAAUGAAUUAAUAAGUGAAGAAUUUAAUAAUAUAGCAAUUUUUUGAGUCAAGACAUUUCUUUUAUAUAUAUAUAUAUAUAUAUAUAUAUAUAUAUAUAUAUAUAUAUAUAUAUAUAUAUAUGAGUAACAGUAAAGGUAUCCAUUACGGCUGUUUCUAACGAUUCCUUUAAUUGUUUAAUGAAAACAUUACAUCAUUUUAAAGAAAUCGUUUUUGUCAGAUGAAUUCAUAAACUUCAAAAUAAGGGACUUUCAGAAUGAUUUAACAUAGUUUAAAAUCCACAUUUACGGUGAAUUUUAAACUAUGUAGAAAAAAAGACAUUUACAGUGAUUCUGCUAUUAUUUCCGUUUGCUAUUUCUUCCAACAGAAAUAAUUGCAGAAUCACUGUUAAUGUCUUGCAUUUUGUUGUGUGACUUGAUUACCUUUCUCAACGUUGAGAUCGAUGUAAUGUCUAAAUGUCCCGUGGCCUUGUCCCACUUAAUUCAUCGAAUCUUCAAGUUCUUUGUUAUUUUAUAGAUGUUCAAUGCUGGGGGCAUUGCUUUUAAUAUUGAGCUCAUUAAUUAUUUCAGUCUAAUAAGUUUAUUGAUUAUAUUAGUCGAACGCUUACAAACAUACAACCACUCAACGAUACGCGCACAGACAUACACACGUACAUGUAUUGAUCAAAAAUUGAAUAAUUUUCACUGCAAAUCCAUGAGGUUUUCGGAUCGAUACCUUUGCAUGGUACAUUGGAUAAGUGCCUUAACCAUGACUACGAUUCGUCUCAAAGAUUUCUGAAUGAAAUUAAGUAGACGAAGUUGUCAGAAAACCACUCUGUAGAGUGUCCUUGCAAUUCAAAGGUUUACCCGUAUCACGCUGAUUCCAAUUCACAUUUAAAGGAUAAGUCACGUUUGUGCAAUGAAUGAAACGUCUAGAUCGCUCACACGUCGAUAUCGAAGAUAGAAUCAUAGAUAGACUUAUUUACAAACUCACACACACCGCCUCCCUGCUCUGUUCAUUUCCCGCUCAAAGUAGAUUUUGGUCUUCUAUCCACCACUAAAGGUAAUUUAAAAUUUGGCGUGAGGUUAAUAGUGAUUAUUGUUUCAAAUAGAGACCUGAGGUGUUGAGGAUGAAUGUAGCCAGUAAAGUUGUCCCCAGUAUUAGACAAAAUUUGCACAUUAAUGACCCUGGAGGGAUAAAAGGCAAAAGUAGCAUCGGUUGGAUUAGAACUCCGCUACAAAUAUCAGAACCUAUUUUCUCCGAGGUUCUGAUAAUUCUGCACACUUACUGCCGCUGCUGCUGCUGCUGCUGAUUAUUAUUAUUAUUAUUAUUAUUAUUAUUAUUAUUAUUAUUAGUAGUAGUAGUAGUAGUAGUAGUAGUAGUAGUAGUAGUAGAAGGUGGAGCAGCAAUAAUUAUUUACUUAAGGCACAAGGCCAGGAAACUGAGAGUGUGGAAUAAUCGAUAGUAUCGACCCCAGUACUUGGCUGGUGUUUGAUUUCAUCAACCCCGGAAAAUGAAAGGCAAACUUGACCGAUAAUAUUAAUGAUAAUAAUAAUGAUGAUGAUGAUGAUGAUGAUGCUGAUGAUAAUCUGGUCAUAAUGAUGGCACGUCGAAAUACAUCUCUAUCAGCCAAUGUAAAAAAAAAAAAGAAAAAAGAAAAAGUAAUUAAAUACAAUAAAAGCAAGCAGUAAACGAGCUAAAGAUAACGAUAACUAAAACAUGAACAGCAAAAGUAAAGAGAAAAGAGAUGGUACAUUAGCAAUGACAAAAUUACCAUGAAGUAACAAACACUACAGCACUAACAACAAAAACAUUAUGAAGAAUAAAAGAAAUCUCUGGCAUCGAUAGUCAACCAUUAAGUGAAUAUUUAUCAUAAUGCUGGGUAGCUGGCCAUCAUUCAUACAUUUAAUGUGUCAAUGGUUCACGGAGUACUGUAUGGAAGCUGUUAUCUCAUCUUCCUUACUUUCACGCUAUGUCAUUAUCUAUAACUUCCCCCAACCCACUUCUGUCAUAAGCGUCUAGCUUUUUACUACUUGGCUCUAGCUGUCUACUUAUUACAUCUGAAUGAAUAUCUAUGCGUCUAUAUAUAUAUAUAUAUAUAUAUAGUUAUAUAUGUACUUAUGUGUGUCCUAUCUUUUUCUCUCCCUUUCUUUCUCUCUCUCUCUCUCAUAUUUAACCUCAUGUAUUUAUACAUAUAUAUACUCAUAUAUGCAUAGACGUUUUUAUACGCAAUAAUAGUAUAUAUAUAUAUAUAUAUAUAUAUGUGUGUGUGUGUGUGUGUGUGUGUGUAUGCAUAUGUGUGUGUGUGUGUGUGUAUGCAUAUGUGUGUGUGUGUGUGUGUAUUCAUAUGUGUGUGUGUGUGUGUAUGCAUAUAUGUGUGUGUGUGUGUAUGCAUAUAUGUGUGUGUGUGUGUGUAUAUGCAUAUAUGCAUGUAUAUAUGUAUGUAUAUAUAUAUCUAUAUAUAAAUGUGUAUGUACAUAUGUAUACAUAUGUGUAUGUAUAUAUGCAUAUAUAUGUAUGGAGAUACGUGUGUGUGCGUGCGCAUUACUUUGUUUCCUGUCUGUGUAACUGUUCUACACACACUAAACACUUAUACUGUUUCUGACAUAAAUUGCGAGUCUCAUUGAGUUGCUCGUUAUUUGCCUAUUUGUAUAUAUUUUGGUAGCAUCCAGUCUUCUAUCUUAAUUUUCUCAUUGUCAUCGUAUUCACCUUAUAACCUUAAUCGCCAUUAAAAACGAGCCACCGAAAGACCUUCUACCUGGUUGUCCGACCUCCGAGAAAUAGAGGCCAAGUUUGUGUCAAAUAACAUCCGAUCGUUUUAAACAUAAAAGAAUACUUUGGAUAAUGACUUUCUAAAUGAACUGUGGCUGCAAAAAAAUGGCGAUGUUUCGACUGGAACGCCUAUGAUAACGUAAUUUGGCUAUUUGAUAAAUAAAAUCGUCUGUUAGAUAGUGUACUGACUCAUACAUAAUGUCUGAAAUUGAAACAUUCACACACUCGUAGGCGCACAUGCACACUCGCGUGUACUUACAGAGACAUACAUACUUAAACUUAUUCAUUUGAUAUACAUAUAGGAAGCCAAAAUAAUAAUGAUAAUAAUAACGAAAACGUACCAUAUGUGCAUACAUAUACAACUAGCAUUCUAUACGUUCAUAACCACACACACACAGAAGCUUACCAGACGUUACUUAUAGCAAAUCGACAGAUGUAAUUCCUCAAGUAUUUUGAACGUUUCUCUCUCAUUUGUGUCCAACCCCUGUUAUAUGCAUUCACGCACGCAUACACACAGACGCACACUUAUAUUCUAUAUAUCAAUCAAUCAUGCACACACAAACCUAUACAUAUACACAUACAAAAUGUAAAUUGUGUACAUAUCUAUGUAUUGUAUUUCCUUGUGUGUGUGUGCCACACAAUAGAAGAGAAAAAAAAGAUAAUUGAAGUAGAGAAAGAGGUAAAUACAUUUAUUUUUGGGUAUAGUGAAAAGGGAUCCAAUACGGGAUUAAAAAUGGUUAUCGAUCGCUGAAUAUAUAGACAGAAGCAUGCAUUUAAACACACACACACACGCCUACAAACACAGUUAUGUAAAUCUCUUCUCUUUCUUUCUUUCUUUCUUUCUUUCUUUCUUUCUUUGUCUCUCUUGUCUCUCUCUCUCUCUAUCUAUCUUUCUCUUUCUCUUCAAUAUGAUAUGGACAGAUUCUCUAAAACUGAGAACAGAAUAUAAUAGAAAAUGAGAAAACACAAUUACAUAUGAAAUAUAAUAAAAAGUAUAUGAAAAGGUAAUAUAGGCAGUGAUUUGAAAUAAAAGCUAGUUUCUAUCAUACAUAUCAUUCUAGUAUAAUGGGUUUCAUAUAUAUAUAUAUAUAUAUAGAGAGAGAGAGAGAGAGAGAGAGAGAUAGUGAGAGAGAAAGAGAUUUACACACCCACACAUAUUUCCACGCAAUACUUUAUUUUUCUUUCUCUAUUAUUCUUUCUUUCUCUCUCUCCCUCCCUCUCUCUCUCUCUCCAUAUAUAUAUAUAUAUUCUUCUCUGUAUCAUUGAUGUGUGUGCGUGUGUGUAUUAAUGUAAAUAGAAAUAGAGAGGAAAAUAUGUGAGAAAGACAGGGAAAGUAGCAGAUUAAGAAGACUGAAUAAGGGAGUUAGACUGAGAGUUGGAGAAUGGAUUUAAUGUUUCAUAGCUAGAUGUAUGUUAUGAAUGUGGGAUUGAAUAAGGUACGAAGCUAUAGAUUGAAUAAUCGAGCAAGUUAUGAAAUUGUAUAAGAAUCACCAGACAGAAAAAUAAUAUUGAAAAUGGAAAAUGAAAUAUCUUGUAUGUGUAUGUAUCAAUGUGUUUGACAGUGAGUGCUUUUUUGCGUAUAUAAUAUAUAGUCAUAGACGACUUUAGGGAACCGAACGGUGUAAUUUGCACACAUAUCGGUGUCAACGAAGCAAGUACAAAAGUGAGUGCUUACCCUUUUACUUUAUAUAUUAAAUUUCGGAUAUAGAAUCGCUUCGAACAUGAGAAAAUGAAAACUAAGCUUAGCUCUAAUUUCUACAGAUAGAUUGCGAUGUAAGGAGAGGUUCAUGUGGGGAUUGGUUGUAUUAAACCUGUCGAAUAAGUCUCGUAGGUCUCUCCUGCUUUGCCGUUGUUCGGCUUCUGUAUUUUAAUAACUGCUUUUUUUUAUUGUUAAUAUUCAAUAUCCAGUUCUGUGUGUGCGGUGAUGACUGUGAUGUGCUCGCCAGGUAUUUAUCAACAUUAGAAUGAUUUCUAUGAAUAUAUAUGUUUAAAUGUGACACCGAUGUAAAAUAUGUGACUUUUAGUACAGUACAGUAACCUAUAUAUGCUUUCCAUAUUGCUGAAAGGGCAAUAUUUUUGAAAGGAGGUGUUGUAAAUUCCUUGGCUUUAAGGGUAUCGCGAAAAGCCUGGCUGGAGGCCCAACCUUCCAAAUUCUUUUACAGGGCUUAGAAAAACUGAAGGACCGCUGCAGUAAGUUAGUGAAACUAAGAGGGGAAUAUCUCGAAUAUAAUCAUAAUUAACUGAACCUUCAGUGUGUUUUCAUUUACCCGAAGCCAGGGUAAAUGCACACUGUUGAAGAACAGGAGCUGAUUACGAAGGAGGCAUUUCCACAGUGAGGCUCAGAUAGCUGUGUAACCACUCAGGCCUCUCGAAACAGCUGGCGGAUUGGAAGAGUGAUCGUAUCAUCAAUGUACUGCAGCCUUUGAAAGAAUAUGUCCGGCUACAGGACGCUUUAAACUUUCUUUGAGGUUUAUCACCAAUCUUGCAUCGGUGGAAAAAAGCAGUGUAGCCGUAAUCGAUUCGCUAUUUUUGCAACUGUCUGGUUUCUUCAGUUGUAGCCACUGCUUCACUGAAUUUGUUAGUACCGACUCUUCUGAAUAUUUCGUGGGAAAAGUAUCUGAUUAAUUAAUGAACAGAUAGCAGUCUUGCGUCAUUGAUGUUAGAGGAAAAUGCGUUCUGCAGGAUAAUGCUAGAAAGUUGAGCAAGAAGUCAUUAGUGGUACCCGCUUAUGGACGUUCCACUAUUGUUAUACACUGGGCAGUCUUUGUUGACCAGCUGUGUGUAAACACAGGAUGUUGUAUAACUGGCCAGCCGAACGACAUUCGAUACCUCUUACUUGCCAUUAACGAGUCGAGCUGAUGUGUGAAAACUCAAGUAGAAGUUAAUACAGGUGAUUUCAUUUCGUAUAUCAGUGCCCUUUACAACAGUUCAUAGAAUUGAUCUGUAAUGCUAGAACAGAACCCAAUUUGUAGCUUUCUGUGAGAGUUAAUAUUAACAAAUUACCUUCCAGUCCUAUUCAGUAAGAGACCGAGCAGAAAUGCAUACGUAUGUGAUAAGAGUACCUCGAUUAGAAGUGAAUAUGGCUAUGCAUCUCUUGGAAUAUUUCAUUUAUAUUAUUUGUGUUAUGUUGCAUGUUCGGAUGCCUCUACUACUCAACGCUACUCUGCUCGACUACUCUACUCUUCUCUGUUCUCUGACGACGUCUAGACCUCUCCCUCUAUAUCUACGUAUUGGGGUAGCCUACUUCAUCGUCUAGGAGCGUUCACACAACAGUCUGGUUUUCCAAAAUAUGGGAAUAUUAUCGUUGUAACAGCGUUCGCAAAUUAUAAAUCUGUGAUAUGGAACUUUAUAAUAUAAACUGUUCUUCAGCCAGAAAACUUAUCAGAAAGUGCUGUAACUAAGAUAAAAUAAAGCACAGGCGCUAAAUUCUACAUCGGAGCAUUCAAAAAAUUAUUAAAAUUUGAAGACCGGGG